rnacentral:lncRNA from 1 species
GAUUACCGUUACUGGUUCGGUUCACGAGACUGAGGUAGCCUAAACCGGAAGCGGCGUCGUCUUGGUUACGUGGGACAACGAGGAAGGCGAAACCGUGACCAGGGGUAGGGUUUGUGUUGUGAGGAGUGAUGGAGAAAGUGAAAGAGGUCUUGAAAGGGUAAACAGAAGAAGCGUUGUUGGGAGGCUUGAAGGUGAUUGGGUUGAUGUAAAUGGCUCGACCAUGAGAGAAAGGAAUUCUGAAUUGGGUCAAACCGAGAGCACCCGACCGGCUCAUCCGACCGGCGUCGGGACCAUACUCUGCGUCUCCAUGGAACGAGAAGAGAUCAGAGCCAUUUAUACCGAAGUUGUUGAAUUGGAAUCUGUAAGCAGAAGUGGCUUGAGAGAUGGAGAUAGCUAUGAAGAGAUUGACGAAGCAGAGUGUUUGCAUGGUCAUCUUUGCUCUCUUUUAGAGAAGUGAAGUCAAGAUGAUGAACUUUAUAAAGAUGGAAGUUGUUGUAAUAAUGUGAUGGUGACAAGUUCGAUAAAACUUUUUACGCCCUUUGGAUUUUAAAAUUAAUAUUUAGGAUUACAUAUUAAUAUAUAGAUAUUUUAAUUUAUAAGCUUGUGUUACUUUUAUUUGUUUCUUAAUAAAGUUAUACUACUCAUAUUUUUAGAUUUUAUUAGAGUUAAAACAAAAUGUAUUAAUAAUUCAAUUUUUAAUAUAAUUAGAAAAUUUAAAAAAUUAAUUAUGUGUAUGCAGAGAGAGUAUUGUUCAACAAGAAAAGUAAUGGUAAUGGUGAAAAACAAAGGACAAUGAAACUGAAUUAUGAAUUAAAUUAUAAUGGCAUUAGAUGACAAAAGUUGUUUUCGAAGUUCCCAAGACAUGUCUUCUUUUCAUGCUGGAAAUAGAACUUUAUAACUGGUGGAGAGAAUAAAAAAACACAAUAGAAUUAAAUUCUGGAAAUCUUCUAAUUUGUUGUCAUAUCCUCUGCUCCUUUUGAUCAACCAAAAUAUAAUAAAACUCAAAAUAGAAUUAAAUUCUAGUUUAACUACUUUACAUUUUUACUUUAACUACUUUACUUUUUACUCUAAAAUAAAGUAAGGAGUAAAUACAGAGAAAUACUGAAAAGCAUACAAUUGUUUUAUUUAAAAAUAAUUUCACUUUUUUACUUUAUUUUAAAAUUAAAAAAUGGAUAUGAUUAAGAAAUUAAAAAAUGGAUAUGGUUAAUAAACUUUAUUCCAAAAUAGAAUUUAUAGUAUAAAAUGGAGUUGAGUCAAAAAAUUUAAGAAUAUUUUAUUGUAUUACUCUAUUUUUUUAUUUACAUUUGAUUAGCUUGAAAAUAAAAUUAAAAUUAAAAUUUCUCUAAUUUUAUUCUAUUUACAGUAAAGUAGAAUAAUAAAUAAAUAUAAAUAUAAUAAUAUAUAUGUUAUUUCUUUUGAAUAAUUAAAUUAUUACUUCAUUUGAAAUUAGAAAAUGGAGUAAUGUAUUUUUGAUUAAUAACGAUGGAGAAAGGUUAGAAGAAUGUAUUUUUGAUUAAUAACGAUGAAAAAAAAAUUAAUGGAGAGAACUGAAGAUGUCCUUGCAUGGCUAAUAAAUAGUUUUAUAUAGACUUUGCUUUAUAAUUUUCCACAUGACUACACAAAUUGUUAAUCUAAAUUGGUAUGUACCGAAUUUAGGUACGAAUUAAAUUUGAUACUGAAUUAUUUAGAAGAUGUUUACUGAGAAAUCAAAUGUUUGAUUAUAAGAGAAAAUACUAGAAAUUUGUAUACAGUUUAAGUAUUCUGCAAGAAGAAUUCCUUAUCUUAUACCGACUUAUGUUUUAUUAUGAACUCCUAUCUUCGAUAUAUGUUUUCUUUUGUUAUAGCCGGGUUUUUUUUUCUUUUUAAAGUUGUAUAAACCGAUUCUAAAUUAACUGGGUGAAAUUUAAUGUAUUUAAUGGGGCUUGUUUGAGAAAACCGAUUCUUAUUGGUUUUUCUUUUAAGUUAUACCGAUGUGUGUUUGUAUUAUAAGAGCAUCUCCCAUGGUGUUACCACCAUUAGAAUCCUUAGCAUUAUUAAACUUUUUUUUUUAAUUUUUCUUUGUUUGAAUAGUUAAAGAUUCUAAUCAAAAUUGUAUAUCCAAUGUUAUUCUCCAAUUUGGAGUUCUUGGGAAUUAAAAAUAUUAAAUUUUAAAACAUGUGAAAUUAAAUUUUUAUUUAUUACAUGUUAAAUAUAAAGAUACAAUAAAAUAUUAAAAUAAAAUAUUAAAAUUUAAAAAUUUUGGUGAAUGUUAAAUAGAUUUAACUCCAUUAAUUUUUUUUAUUUAUUACAUGAUUAAAUAUAAAGGUACAUGAUUAAAUAUAAAGAUAAAAUUUUAAAUUUUAAAACAUGUGCAAUUAAAAUUUCUAGCGACCCAAUGGCACAAUGCCACGUCUCUAAGGACUAAAUCCUUAAUUAAAAACCAAUUCUUAGCUAACUUAAGUUUUAUAAUAUUAUUAUAUUCAUAUUAACCUAGGAUUUUGUGGUAAGGACUUGUGAUAAACCUCCAUUGCGGCUGCUCUAAUACACUUAACAUCAGUACAACAAGAAACUAAAUUUUCGAAUUUUUUUUGGUAUUUAAAACCAUAAUUAUCGCACGAUCCUAGUUUUUCAACUAAAUGAAUGAUUUAAUUAAAUAAAAAAUAAAUAAAAACUGUGUUACCGAUCCUUAGUUAGGAUGUUUGGUGAUCGAUCCUUAAGCGCACGUGUCAGCUUGUUGUUUUUGUUUUUUUUCUAUACAAAAGCUUGUUGUUUUUUUCUCAUUUAAUCUUUUUUUAUCUCAUUUAAUCUUUUUUAACUCAUUUAAUAUAUUUUUUUCCUCUUCUAUAGAUAUCCCUACAAAUAUCGUCAAUAUUAUGGGUGUUUGAACUAGAAUUCGUGAUAAACAAAUGCAUCAACAACUGAAAGUUGAUUUGGUUGAACAUAUAUGACGUCAAUUUGGACGUGAUGAAGACAACAAAUGAGUUCAGAUGUUUUUUCAAAUUAUUCUUGAUUAUUGUACUAAUCUUUAUUUUUAUGUUUUUUAACAUCUAUGUUUUAAAUGUUAUUUUUUAAUAUGUUUUAUUUAAUAAAUAACUUUUAUCCUUAAAUUUUUUUAAACCAUUAAUUAAGAAACUCCCAUUGGACCACUCAAAAUGGGAGUUUCUUAACUAAAGUUCUUAAGUCCACUUAAAUACAUUUAUAUAAUUAAAUUAUCAUUAAGAAACCCAAGUGGGUUUCAUGGGAUAAUCAUGCUCUAAGUCUUUGGUGUGUUUCAAAAACAAAAAUGUCUUUGGUAUUAGAGUAUUAAGGUAGAGUGUUGUAUUUUUUGUUUUUGAAGUCUGAAAACUUGAUAACUUGAGCAUUUAUUCACUUCAACUAGUAGCGGGAGCCACACUAACAGAAACAUAAACAAAUCAAACGAUAAGCGAUUUGAACCGAGUAAAUCCGGUUUAUUAUUAAUAGACUCGUUUUUUUUUAAAUUAUUAAUAGACUCGUAUUGGGUUCGUACUUCGUUCUUUUAGGUUCUACCGAAGUGGGUUGUAUAAAUACAAAAAGAAAUACAAAUUUUGAUUUUGGUAUUUCAAGUCUUUGGUAUUAGGUAGAAUGUUGUAUUCAUUUUUGAAAUUUAGAAACCGACAUCUUGAGCAUUUAUUCACUUCAAUUAUUAGCGGGAGCCACUAACCGAAGCUAUCAAAACAAAACAAAAACAAACCAAGCAAAACCGAUUUAAACCGAUCUCAAAUCGAAUAAAUCCGGGUUAUUAAUUCUGGAAAGUCCAGUCCCAGAUCUCAUGACGCUCGACACCACGGCCCAUUGAACCAGCAAAACCGGCGUACAUGUUCUCGAGCAGCACAUUAGAGAGAUCGUAUUUCGCUUCAAUCAAAGGCCGGUUCGGUUUCUUCAAAUGCGCGAGCCCGAUCGUAACCGAGAUCACUUUUAAAUUGUUGUUAUACUCGAUCCAAGCCGCGUACUUAUCUCCACUGCUCAGCUUCAAAUCCUUGAACAACCAACCGUUUCUUGUCAUGACCCAAUAACCGGAUUUAACCGAAGUCACAGAGUCGACCGAAUUAAUGUCGAUUCCGACAUGGUUAUCGUUGAUGUCUUUAAAAGACUUGUCCUGAAACACAUCGAACUCAACAGCAAAGAGGUGGUUACUUGGAUUACCGUUACUGGUUCGGUUCACGAGACUUAGGAAGCCUAAACCGGAACCGGCAUGUUGGUUACUUGGGACGACGAGGAAGGCGAGACCGUGACCAGGAGUAGGGUUUGUUUUGUGUGGAGUGAUGGAGAAAGUGAAAGAGGUCUUGAAAGGGUAAACAGAAGAAGCGUUGUUGGGAGUCUUGAAGGUGAUUGGGUUGAUAAGAAUGGCUCGACCAUGAGAGAAAGGAGUUUUGUCUUUGGUCAAUGAGAGAGAACCGGACCGGGUCGUGCCGUCGGUGUCGUGACCAUACUCUGCGUCUCCAUGAAAUGAGAAGAGAUCGGUGCCGUUACCGAAGUGGUUGAAUUUGAGUCUGUAAGCAGAAGCGGGUGAAGAGGUGAAGAUAGAUAUGAAGAGAGUGAUGAAGCAGAGUGUUUGCAUGGUCAUCUUUGUUCUCCUUUUUCUUUUUGGGAAGUGAAGAUGGUGAUCUUUAUAAAGAUGGAAGUUUGUAAUAAUGCGACUAUGUGAGGGUGAAACGAUCGAGAUAACUUUUUUAUUUUUCAAAAAGAAAAGUAUGGUAAUGGUGAAAAAGAAAGGACAAUGAAAUUGAAAUAUAAUGGCAUUAGGUGACAAAAGACGAUUUCGAAGUUCACAAGACAAUGUCUUCUUUUUAUGCUGCACAUAUAACUUUAUGAGUGGUAGAAAGAAGAAAGAAACAGAUUAGUUUACAGUGGAUUGGUACGGUCCUCCACCCCACCUCCAUGUAAUUAUUCAAACAUUUAAUUAUGAAGAUAUACAUGAAAAUCUUCUACUUUGUUAUCUGUCAUAUGGAUAUUCUUUUCUCGUUUUGGUUAACUUAAAAAGGCAACACGUUUUAUUAAUGCGCCUGUCACGCUUAUAUUUUACCUCCAGUUAUGGUUAGAAUAUCUACAAUAUCUUACUUUAUUUUUAUUUUAAAAUAAUAAAAUUAAAUUGUUUUUGCUCUAAUUUGUCUUCAUUUUUACUUUAAUGUAGAAAAUAAGUAUAAUUACUUUAGUUUUAAAAAUAUAUAUUUAAACUAUUUUUAUAUUAUAUAGUUUGAAAUAGAAUAUGAUUUGAAAAAGAUUUAAUUUCAAAAAACUUGAAAAUCUUAAAAGUCGGAUCUAGACUAAAUUUAACGGGUUAUUAUAAUAUCACUGUUGUUGUUCACCCAAUCUCUUAAUAAUCAGAAAAAUAAAAAAAUGGAAAGGAAAAAAGAAGAAGAACAAGUAUUUUCCGGCGAAAAGUAUAUUUUUGUUAUUUAAAAAGUGGUUAACUUAUAUAUUUGUUUAAAAUUUGUUUAUUUUAAAUUACAUUAUUACAUGAUGAGAUAUUAUAAGAAAAAAAUAUUUACAUGAUGGUCACUAGUAUAGCUUCACCUUAAAGUUUUUUAUAACUUAAAAAACUUUUCAAAAAAUAGAUUCAUCAAAGUUUCUCAGAAAAUAGAUUCAUGUCAAAGUAUUUCAGCCGGGACUCUUUAAAAUUCUUUUUAAAAAAAAUUAACAAUCAAAAUCCUUUAUAUACUAAGGUCCGAUUGGAAUUUUAACUUAAGAGGCUGUUGAAACUUUAACUUAAAUCUAAAGUCCUUAAAGUCAAAAUAUUACCAAUCAAGCUUUAGAGCUUCUAAUUCUAAAGUCUUUAAAGCUUCCCUUAAAAUUUUCAAAGCUAAAAUAACUGAAUUUGCUCUUCCCCUAAGGUGAAUUCACCUCUAGAUUCAACAAUCAAUAGGAUUUUUUUUAUUUCAUAUUCAAUAUCUUAAAAAAAUUGUCAAAUUAUAUCAUGUUUUUAAAAUAAAAUAAAAGUAAAAAAAAUAAAAUAAAAAUUAUAGUAGUUAUAAAAAUAUUUUAAACGUCGUUAGCAAAACAUUAAACUCAACGAUCUAACAACUGCCUGUAGUAUUUGUCUAUAGCCUAUAGUAUGUGUUUUUUGUAACUGGUCUAUAGUAUGUGUUCAAUAAUGCUUUCUAAUGCUUUUUGGGAUUUAUAGUUUUAAACGACUUUGUUUGAGUUUGUCACUAAGAUGCAUAAAGGAUUGCUAAAUUAUGUACACCAAUGGAUGAUGAAAUUAAGAAAAUAUUACUUAUUUAUAAAGUUAUGAAAAUUUAUAUGAAAAUAAUCUAAAUGUACUAAUGAACAUUCAUCUAGUGUACAAUAAAGAGAGAGUACCAAACGGGUCACUUAUGGUUUGUUGGAUUUGUGAUUGGUUCGAACAUAUGAUUAUCUGCGUGUAACCACAUAGUGUAUUGGUUAGUAGCAAGCUGAAACAGAAGAAUUUGUGUUCGAGCCAACCUUUUUCUUGUUUUUGAAAAUUCAUCUGAUAUUUUCAAUGUUAUUAUAUGGUACGUUUUUAUUUACUGCAGUGAAAAAUAUUAUUAAAUAUAAUUUAUUUGUAUAGGUAAAAUUUUAAUUUGGUAAAUUUAGGAAAGAUUAAACUAUAAAUUAUUUUAAAUUCUGAAAAAGUUAUUUUGGGAAAGUAUUCUGGCUAUUUCUAUUACGCAUGGAUUUAUUUGAUGACCUUUUUCUUCUUAUUACUACACAAUCUCAACGUUGUAGGAACUUUUGACUAAUUUAAAUUACUCAAAAUAAACUAACAUUAAUUAUACAUUCCUCAUUUUACUUACUAAAGUAUAUUUCUAGUAGCUUUUGACUGUUAUAAGUGAUUCAAAAUAAACCAAUGUAUAUCUUACUUUCUAAAAGUGACCUUUUAAUUUUUUUUAUCAAAUAUAAACUAUGAAUUCUUGAAUAGGCAAUAACCAUAAACAAAUCCUCAAGAUGAACUCACCUAAAAGAAACUUCAUAUAUAUUCUAUGCUACAUACUUACUAUCUCCAUAACGGUGGCAUUUUUUAACAGUUCUGAACCUUUGCAACCAGAUGGUAUUUUUGUCAGUUAUGCGACGCUCUCAAUUUAUAAUUGUAAUAACUUUUCCAUGGGAGUCCAUUGUAAAUCAGGCGACAAAGAUAUAGGUUUUCGCGUUGUUAACAAGGGUGGAUUAUAUGAAUACAGAGUUCGUAUUGGUCUUCAGAAGACUACACUCUUCUUCUGUGGAUUUAGCCAUGGAAAAAUAAAGAAAGGCAUAUUUGACCUCUACGAUGCGUCUAGAGAUUCCGAUAGAUGUAACAAGUGCACAUGGAAAGCUGUGGGAAAUGGUAUUUAUGGAUAUACUGAUAAACCACAUCAAGCUGUCCUGUUUUAUAAAUGGAUAAAGUGAUAUGCAAGUGAGUUUAUUUAAGAAAUGUGUAAUACUAUGAACUAAAAUCUUUAUAUAUAAAAGAGGGUUGUAUCCCUCCUCCUUGUGCCACAUGGGAUGCCACAUAGAUAACUCGUGAGCUCUCGCGACGACACGUGGCAACGCAGCGUUUCAUUAAACUUGAAAUCUGGGCUUAAUUCAUUCGUCGUGUAUUGGGCUAUAGGUUUGUUGUUCCCGGCCCGAUAGACGUUGCCAGCCUCGGUGACUUCUGAUCUUCUUCACGUCUUCUGGAACGGAAUGUGUUAUGGCUUUUUUCCGUGAUAAAUCUCAUUAAUUCAGAUGCCCACUACAAGUUCUUCAAUGUGUUAUUGCGUCGGCGAGGCUGUGGGAUUUCGGGUAUAAAUAUGUCAGUAUUUCUCUUCUGGAAAUCAUCCUCUCUUCAUCUCCCUUCUACUCAUCUCUCUUAUAUAGUGUUCUUCUCCGAUUUGAAGUCCCGCAAGUGUUCAUCCGUUGAAUAGCCAGAGAGAAGAUUAAAAGUGAAGAGAGUAAUAAGGAUUCUGCUCUGAUCGAUGAUAAGCCUCCUACUGCAGCCUCUGUGAACGUUUUUCUCAGACAGGCAUUGCAUGCUGAUGUUCGGUCUCUUCUGCUUGAUUGAUUGUACAACCGAGAUGAACAGGUUCCGAAAAUAGCCUUCUACCUGUGUUUCUGUUUACCUUUUGUUUAAUGGCUUAUUCAUCGAUUUUUCUUACUGAUUUGAAGGCUGGCAGCUAUUCUCUCUCUUUCUCUUAUGGGUUUUUGUUGUUCGCAGGAAUCCAGAUCGUAGCUCUAUAGGUUCACAUGAUCCAUCAAGACCCAAAAUGUUCAUAUUCAUCUGUACAUCCAAUUGUUCCCAUAAAGGUUGGGUCUAUCUAAUUCUCUCCAUCAGAUUUCUGGAACAGAUGAUUCUGUUUUUUCUAUUAAUAUAGAUGAUUUUUUCAGUCUGAUUGAGAUGUUAACUAGAUGUAUAUAUACUCUGGGAACAAUUGCUUUUGCAGGAAUAUAAUGAAAUCAUCUAAGCUGUUCGUCGGUCAGACUAUCUUGGAAGACCACUGAAUAUCGAGAGUAGUUUCCACUGGCUGUGCUCAUGGCUUUGGUUUCUUUUUCUUUGCUGGUCCCAGUGUUGGUGUGAUAGCCAUAUUGCUCAUUCACAUCACUGAUGUUAAAACUGUAAGUUUUCAUCACAUCCCUUUUGAGCGAUUACUUCAUUGCUUCAGUACAAUCAAUCUACUUCCUACAAUAUUUAGUUGUUUGGAACAGAGGUUACUACUACUGCUCUUCCAAGUAAAGCUAUUCUUUUUAUUCAUUCUUUUUUUCCCCAUGUCUUCUAUAUUGUCGCAAAAAGCAUAAGCGAUAGUCUCUUGAAAAAUAUUUCUCUUGAUCUUGGUCAAAAGUUUUUGUCUUCCGGACAGAAAUAAUAAAGAGAAUAUUAUAAGUUUUUGUCUUACUCUAACUCAGCUGCUUUCUUGAAUUCAUUGGUCUGAUUUUAUUCACAAGUAUGACUAUGCCUUUAUCAUACUCAAAUAAAUUGGUUGACAUGAUAACAAAAUUCCAAACAUAUGAAACAUCUGGAGUUUAUUAUGUAUUAACAAAAUACACUUUGGCCAAUGAUAUUGUGCAGAUAGUUUUACUCGCUAAAAAGUUAAAUGUGGAAUGGUUUGUCGACCAGUGACAUGGAGACGAUGGAUCUGGGACUAUUCUAAGGAUCACCGCUAUUCUAUUUAACUAGAGCAUGUGUCAUUCAAGUUCAUGGAACCUUGGUAACAUUCGGAGUUGGUCAUGUGCUCAAACUCUGGUAUCCAAAAACAAAGUAGCGAUGGACAUUGCAGGUAGUGUGACGUGAGAGCACAGAUUCCAAUCUUAUAUUGCAAGGUUUGGCCCAAGUUGGAUACAAUAACAUCUGCUAACUGAAGCUCUUGACUAGCAUGGUCUGAAGGGAUUAAGGGUGAAUUUCCAUUUUCAUGUCCCUUAUGCCAUUGCCUAAUUCGUUUUUUCUUUAUAUUUUUUUUUGUAUGGAAACAGUUGAAUUUAUCAAAAGGAAUCAUUCAGUGUAAAAAAAAGAGCAUGCGUCAUUGGUAUCAACAAAUUUCAGGAUUUGAUUUUCGUAUUUUUUAUCAUAGUUGUAAGAAUAUUUGUAUCCGUUUGAGAUUUAAGAUUUCACAUUUUGGUUUCAACCUUAAAAAUCUCUGACCACAAACUCAUACCAAAACAUGGAGGACUUUUUUUACCAAAUGACACUCUUUUUUUCCUACAAAAAUAUGCUUUGUUUUCUAUACGUGCAGUGACUACAAUUUCAUUUUUGAGGUGUUUUACCUUUGUAUUGGUUUGUUGAUACUCCAUUGAUGGUAAACAGAAUGCUCCGGAACGGAAAAGUAAAUCUAUACUAAUACCAAAAUAUUUUGCGCACUAAUAUAUUUUUGUUUACGAUGGAAUAAUAUUAUAAGAAAUAAGAGAAUAAGUCAUGAGAAUAACAACAUAAAAAGUAUACACUAAACUAGGGAUUAGAAAAAUAUCCAAAAUCCCACCUAAAAAUAUCUACCAAACUCGAACGAAAAUGGUAAAAUAUUGGAAUGGUUUCGGAAUUUUUAUUCGAAGAACUGAAACUGAAUCUCACACGAAUCAAAAUAUUUUAGGUACCCAAUUUUUUAAAAUUAUAAUUAUAUAUUUAAAUAUAAUAAUUAAUUUAAAAUAUUAUAUCCAAAAUAUUUAAAAUACUCAAAAAUACUCGGAGAUGUAUAAACAUUUUAAAAUGUUUAAAAUGUUUGACGCAGUAAAAAAAAUCAAAACACUAAAAUAUUUAAUGGUUUCCCACUCAAUUACUCUAACGAACCAUUUUUCAUGAUAGUUUUAUGCAUUUAGUUAUACAUAAUUAUAAUAUAUAUAUAUAUAUAUAUAUUACUUUUAUUGUGUAAUUUGAAUAUCUUAAAAUAUAUUUGGGUUUCAAUAAAAUAAACAUAAUUUAAAUGGGUAGCCAAGCCCGUUGAACCGAACCCGAACCAAAACUAAUAAAUAUCAAAAUAAAUUUUAAAUCUCUAGAUCCUAAAACCUAUAAUCUGAAAAGACAUGAUCGGAUACCUGAGUAUCUACCCAUGCAUAAAAUUAAAUUUUAAAAAUAUCAGAACAAUAAUUACAUUGUUUAACUGCACUUAAAAAUAAAUCAACAACAUAUCAUUCUUAUAGUCACAACCAUUAAGAUAUCUCAAACAAUAUUAUAAUUUUUUUUUAAAAAAUAAGAAUUUAAUAGUAAAAAUUAUGAAAACAAUGGCGUUUCACGUCACUAAUUCGAGUCUUAAGAAGCCGGCACGUAUCCGCAUCUAAAACAUGGCGUUUCAUUAACUUGGAGUUGGAGUUGGAGAUUGUGUGGGCUUUUGGUGUAACUCAUAAACAUGCGGGAAUAUUGUUGUGUGGGUCUUAGAUCAAAUUAAAAAUAAUACUUUUAACAUUAUACUUUUAUAUUUUAGUAAACAAAUAAUGUCGUGUUCUUCGUUUUAUGAAUACGCCAUAAAAAAGCUCUCAUGUGAUUGUUGAUAUUCAAUCCGAUCAUACCGGUAUGACAAAUUAAUGUAAAUCAACAGAACCGAGUACGAUGAUUUUAAUUGGAUUUACAUGUGUCGAAAAUACAAUAAAAUUUUUUUAUUUAUUUGAAUGUGUAAAAUAGCCUGUAAAAACCAAAAAAAAAAAAACUAAAUGAACUAAUAGGUUUAUAGUAUAUUAGUGAAAGUACAUAUAAAAUGUAUAAUUUUAUGUAGUGAAUGCAAAAUUGAAUUUACUAAUUUGAUAUACAUAUACUGAGCAUUUAACAUAUGAAUAAUGUUUUAGCAAAAUAAAAACAUAGGAAUAAUUAUUUGCUUUAUCCAUUUACAUCAAUUUAUUUUUUAAGGUCCAUGAUUUCACGAUAAAUAGUGUUCCUAACUUCUUCUUUUUUCAUACAAUAGCGCAAACAUAUUAUUAUAUAUUACUCCUACUUAGCUAUUUGAAUAAACGAACACUCUGAUAUUUGAAAAUUUUGAACGAUUACUUUUGUACGGUAAACGGUUUUAUUUCAAAGUAUUAAUACACCAAUGCAAAAAUAUAUUUUGCAAAUAAUUACACGCAUCUGCAGCAUAAGCUCUUUAUUACAUACGAGCAUAGAUUCUAUAAAAAUACGUAUAUGCAAUAUUAUCAUUUAAUUUAAAUAUAUUGUUAAUUUAUAACGCAAGUUUCCACAGUAUUAAUAACUUCUUAAUUAAUAGUAAAACAUCUCUAAUAAAUUCUAAACUUAUUUAAUAACGAUAGACCGUAUUCAAUUUAAAGAGUGGCAGAGAAGUUGAAGUAUGACUUUCAUUAAUAGAAAACUAUCACAUUUUAAUUAAAACAUGCACAGACCAAGGUACUCACAGUAACAAAAGGUUGUUUUGGCUUAGAUAAUAUAAUAUUUUCCUUAACAUAUUUCUGGCAUGAUCAUUGCAUAACGGUAUGUGGACAUUAUUGAUUUUAUUUUAUUAGUUCUUUCUUCAUAGAAUAAUGAAAGUUACUAUCAUUUUAAUUUAGUCUAAAAAUAUUUAUUAAAAAUAACAACAUGAUAUCCAAAUUCUAUUUUUUAUUGUUUAUAAUAUCAUUUUCAAUCUACAAUUUUUUUUAAAAAAAUGCUUUAUAAAAUUAAUGUAAAUUCAUAUAAAAUAGUUUUUUUUCUAACUUCCCGCCCGUAGGGCGGGCCGACCCUAGUAUAAAAUAAAAGUCUAUGAACUUAUAAAUUUCUCUUUAUCCACUACUUUUCAGUUAUCGGAACGCAGUAUCCAACUUUAUAGUUAAACCUAACGUAGGAUAAUAAUCAUUUUGUUUGUAUGUUUUGGUGUUUUACCUCAUAAUGAAAAUAUUAACUUUUGAUUAUAUGUUUUGGUGUUUUACCUCAUAAUGAAAAUAUUAAGUUUGAUUAAACCACACUCAAUAUUUUAUGAUUAACUAGUUUUUUAUAAUUUUCAACCAACAGAAAUUCAAUAUAUAUUAUAUAUAUAUUUUUAAAAUUUUCUGCAAUUUACUAUUACUAACUAAAAAUGCAUAGAAAACAUAUAAAAUAUACUUUUAAAGCAGCAUUUUAUUUUAAACAAAUAUUUUGUAGAAACAGAUGAAGUAGUAGUAAACCAAGUUUAACAUUAGUUUUGGGUGAAAGUAUGUAAAAGUAAAACAACAACAAUAGAGUUCAUGAAACUGUAAUAGUGUAUGCUCUUUUUGGUCAAUAAUAGUGUAUGCUUUUUAAAAUCAACUGAAAGAAAGAGAACUGUUUAAUUUCUUUUCUUUAUUAAAACGGAAAAAUGUGAUUUGGAGAUAUUAUGGAAGACUUUGAGUUUUUUUUUUUUUAAAUUGUGAUGCUUGUGGAAAAAUAUUCUCAAAUAAACUUAAAUUAGGAUUUUGGGACAUAAUAUUGUUAUUAAGCUGAUUAAUAUUUUUCAUAUCCAAAAUACAUAAAUUCGAGUGAUUAAAAUUACCCUUUGAGACUAUGUUUGGAUGUUUGGAGAUUGACAUACCAUACCGAUUUUGUUUCUUUUGGAUAAUAAACGAUCAAGUUUAAAGACUCAACAAAAACAUCUCCAAUAUUAUAAAUUAUACCAUUUUCAAUAAUAAUGGUUUCACAUUUUUAUAUAAUAUUUAAAACAAAUUAAAACUAUAUUAAUUUAUAUCAUUAAUUAUUUUAAAUAAUUGUUAUCAAUUUAUAAUUUAUUAAACUGAAUUAAUUGUUUAAAUUUACAUUUACCAUCAUUUAUUAAUACAACUGUAUAAAAUAUUAGAUUUUAAUAUUUGGAAAAAACAUUUACGGGAUUAUCAGGGAAAUACACUGAAUCGCUGGCAAAUCCAAAAUAUGCACUUAAUAUUUUCCGCAGAUCAAAGGGAUCAGUGAAAUUUAGCGACGCAAUUCACCAAAACUAUUUAUUAAUUUCAUAAAAUCCAGAAACGAAUUUAGCAGAACAAAGCAGCUUUCAUUCAAAAAGGUAAUCUCUUUUUUUUCUCGAUUCCGUUAAGGUAUCUCUUUGAUUAAGGCUAGAUUCCGAUCUUGUGGGCUCAAUGAUCUGAUGGGUACUUUCAAUUGAAUCGAAAUGUGAUUAAAGUUUGUUCCUUUACGGUUUUUUGUCGAACGCUGUUUUGGUAAUAACAACAAAGGCUUCUUUAUAAUGUCUUUUGCAGUUUGUGAGAAAAAAAAAGUUUGGUUUUUUUUCGAUAUGAGAGUUCUUCUAUCUAAAGGGUUUAAGAGAUAAUGCUGCGACAAUGCUCACUUCAAAUUCUAAAGAGAAGGAGAGAUCUCUCUCCUUCUUAUGCUGCUGGUACUUAGGUCGCAGACGUUUCGCAAUGCUGCUCCUUCUCAGCCUUGCUUUUGUUGUCUUCAUCUUGGGUUCCUACACUAUCAACAAAGGUAAGUAUAAAUGUCUUUCUUCGUUAGUAGUUUUGAUUAGAUACUGAAUCUGAUGUUUAUGUCUGCAUUGUGAUUACGACAGAGAGUAAUAGUCCAAUCAUUCACCAGAGUAUUGAGACCAUGGAUUUUGUUAGCAACCAAACACCGUUAAGUAGAGAGUUGAGUUCUUUCUAUACUGAAAACUCUAAUGAUGAUGGCAUUAGAGGAAGUGAUGUAGACAUCAUCCAUCCUCCUCCAUCCCACCACCAUCCAUGUGAUAGUUUUUCGUUUCCUCCUCCUCCUCCACCAGGACUCAGAAGGCCUGGACCACGCCGUAAGCUCUCUCUUUCUUUAAUUUGAUAAUUGUCUUUAGUUUCUGACUUGCACUUACCUUUUGCGCUUGUUAUUGUGGUCAGCGUGUCCUGUAUGCUAUCUAUCUCCAGAAGAGGCCUUAGCUCAUAUGCCAAAGCAUCCAUUUGAAUCUCCUGUGCUCAUGAAUUUGACAUAUGUCCAUGAGGAGAGUCCUGUAAAACGUGAAGAAGAAGGUCAAGGAGGCUCUGAGUUUGGAGGUUAUCCUUCUCUUAAAGAUAGGACUAACUCCUUUGACAUUAAAGAGUCCAUGACAGUGCACUGCGGGUAAGCUUCAUGGGCUUGACUUCAUGUUCUUCUCCAGUCUUGGAGCUUUACUUUUCUGAUCCCUGUUUAUUUUUUUUGCUGCAGGUUUGUCAAAGGGACAAAACCGGGACAUCAAACCGGAUUUGAAAUUGAUGAAGAUAUCCUUCCUGAGCUGGACCAGUUCCAUGAUGUGAUUGUUGCUUCAGCUAUAUUUGGUAAAAGAAAAUAUAUUUAUGACGCAUAUUGUUUAGACUUGGCCUCGGCUUCCGCCGGGUAUUUCGGGUUUUGGUUUUUUUGGUUCUAGAAAUUUAGGAGCAAUUCGGGUAUUUACAAAAUUUAGUUCGGUCAUUUCAGUUUCAGUUUGGGUAGCAAAGUUGGGAACCGAUUAAUGUCCAAAAAAAAUUCUGAUACAAUUCCGUUCCAGUUCGGUUCUAGGUUUUCAGGUAAUUUCAGAUAAUAUAGGUGAAAACAUCAAAUAAUUAGGGUGUUUCAGUUUAAAUAUCGGUUGUUCGGAUACAAAUAUUGGGUAAUUCAGAUAAUUUUUAAUAUUUCGGAUAAAAAAUAUUUGGAUAAUUGAAUUUUCGGGGUAUUCGAUUUAUAAAUCUAUCUUAUUAAAACUCAAGUACAAAAUUGGAGUGUUUGGAGACUUGAAUAGGACUUUUAAAAAUUUGGAGUGUUUGGAAACAUGGAUUGCAGUCUUUUAAAAAAAAAUAUUUUUGUUUGAAAACAAGGAUAGUAGUAUUAAGAAAAAAAAGUAAUGUGCUUAUGUUUUUUUUUUAAAUUGAAAGUUAUCUAGGCCACUUUUAAAAUAUACCAAAAUGGGUCAAUCUAAUUCCCUAAAAUUUUUUUUUCUAAACUAACCAUAAAACAAAAUUUAAACUUUAUAUACAUAUUUCAAAUCAAAAUAAUAAUUCAAAUUUGAUUUAUAUCAAAAAUUGAUUCAAAAAUAUACAUAUAUUCAAAAAUGGAUUUUUACUAAACUAUUUUUCAAUAACCAUUAUAAAAAAAAAAUGUCAAUAUAUAUAAGAAAAAUAUAAUACAAAGCCCAAUUUGAAAUACCAACUCAAAUUAUGGUUUUCAUAUUUCAUAUUAAGUUUUAAAAAUAUAAUAUAUGUAAUUAUUUAUAUGAUGGUAUGUAUAAAAUACUAUUAAUUAUAUGAUUACUUAUAUGAUGGUACAUAUAAAAUACGAUUAAUUAUAUGAUGAUAAAAUACGAUAUAUAAUAAUGACUAGGGAUGGGCUUUUGGAUACCCAUACGGGUUUAGUUCUGAUCGGUUUGUAUUUUGAGUUUUCGGGGUCAAAGAUUUCAGCCUUAUUAGAAUGUUUCUAAAUUUUGGUUUGAGUUCGAUUUGGAUCUUUGCGGGUUUGGUUUGGGUUUGGAUAACUAAUUUAAAUUAUUUUUAAAGUCUUAAAUCAUUAUAUAUUUUAAAUUUCUCAAAAUGUAUAAAUAAAAUAAUAUAUUACGUAUAAAUUUGAAUAACAUAUGUCAUAAUACUUAAGCUUAACAUAUCAAUUGGCUUGAUUUAAAAUUUUGGAUACGAAAUCAAUAAUUAUUUUAAGUAUUUUUGGUGAUUUGAGUAUACUUUAACUAUUUCAGAUAUUUACUUUUGACUAUCUAUAUAUAUUUUCAAGUAUUUAAACCAAUUUAAAAGUAUCAUUUUUGAUGUUUUAUAUACGUUAAAUCUAAAAAUAAUUAAUAUAUAUAAGUAUAUAAAUCUAUUUUUAGAUAAAUUCGGAUACCCAAAUACUUCGGUUCGGAUCAGAUUCGGUUCUCUAAAUAACAAAAUUUUGAAUAAUUAGAAUAUUUAAUCAAUUUAUGUUUGGGUUUGGUACUAUAUCUUUGGAUCGGUAUCGGUUAUGUUCCUCGGAUUCAUUUUUUCAAAUCCUAAUAAUUACAUGAAAAACAAAUAUCAACAUAUAUUUCAAAAUCUAGUAAUAUUUUAAGAGCAAAGUAUCAAUUUUUUUUUGCUUUUUAUUUAUCAGGAAAGUACGAUAUAAUUCAAGAACCGGUGAACAUCAGUGAAAUGGCAAGGAACAACAUCCCUUUUUACAUGUUCAUUGACGAAGAAACACAUUCAUAUCUUAAGAACACUUCGAGUUACUCAGAUGAUAACAAGAGAGUAGGGUUGUGGAGGAUCAUUGUUGUCCAUAACGUUCCUUACACCGAUGCAAGACGCAAUGGAAAGGUUAGAGAAAGAUUGAAUAGAUUAGCCAAACAUUUGAAUGUUUCCUUGUGUAACACGUUAAUGCAUUUUUUUACAGAUUCCGAAGCUUCUGUUGCAUAGAUUAUUCCCAAAUGUCAGGUACUCUAUAUGGCUUGAUGCGAAGCUCCAGCUUGUUGUAGAUCCAUACCAAAUACUUGAAAGGUAAGAAGAGUGAUUUUAUUUUAAGAAAUUACUUAAAAUGCCACAAAGUUGAUACCACUUUUUCAUAUAUUCAAUUCUGUAACAUUUAGGUUUAACCUUUUAUGAUUAUUGUUUAGAGUUUAGUAUCUAGAGGGUGGGGUUGGGUUUAUAAAUUUAUAUAUAAACAUUUGUAAAUGAUUUAGGAUGGUUAGUUUAUUUUUUUAAUCAAAAAUUUAUGGUAUUUAUGAAAAUUGUCAUUUUAAAGGUAAAUUUGAAAAGUAGUAGAGUGAUUUAAAAUUGCUUGUUCAGGCCAAAGCAGCUAAGCUUUACUGUCUUCUGAAAUGUUCAGGUUCUUGUGGAGAACGAACUCUAGUAUUGCAAUGUCGAGACAUUACAGACGUUUUGAUGUGUUUGUGGAGGCUGAGGCAAACAAAGCCGCGAGAAAAUACGACAAUGCAUCAAUUGAUUACCAAGUAGAGUUCUACAGGAAGGAAGGCCUAACACCUUAUACUGAUGCUAAGCUUCCAAUAACAAGUGGUAAUGGGUUUUAAGCAUAUGAAGAUUGUAGAAAGUGUUAGUUGAAUGUUUUUGAAUGGUUUUGCAGAUGUUCCUGAAGGUUGUACAAUCAUAAGAGAACACAUACCGAUCACAAACCUCUUCACGUGUGUUUGGUUCAACGAAGUUGAUCGGUUUACUUCAAGAGAUCAACUAAGUUUUGCGAUUGCGAGAGAUAAGAUAAGAGAGAAAGUGGAUUGGAGUAUCAAUAUGUUCCUCGACUGUGAAAGACGCAACUUUGUAAAACAGGUAAAAGACACAACUGAAAGAGUUGGUUUGUUUUGUCUGAAAAAAGUGAGAUUUAGCGUGUUCUUGAUGAUGACAGGUUUAUCAUAGAGACGUUUUGAUGAACAUGAAACCUCCUCGAGCUUCUUCUUCUUCUAGGGUUCUUCCUGAGCCACUGCCUUUGCCACGUGGUAAAGCUGGCGGUAGUAGAGCCGCCGGAGGGAAGAAGAUUCCGGGACAACGUGGAAAAAGGCGUCACCGGAAAGUUUCAGCCGGUGGAAGAAACAUGAGAUAGAGAUUUUUAUUUUGUAAGAUUUUAUAUUUUUAUUGCAAUCUUUUCUAAUUAUUUUUUAUUAUUAGGUGUUUUGCCCGCACUUGCGGACUUAGUAAUUUUAUAAAAUUUUGUAAAGAAAUAUAUUAUCAAUUCAAAAUUUUUUGAAUAAGUUAUUUUCAUGCUUUUUAAAUAUUUAAUAAUUAAUCUAACAUUAAAUUAUCUAUAUACGCUAAAGUUUUUUAUUUUAAUAAAAUAUCUAUAAUUAUGUAAAAUAAUCCUCAAAAUAUUUAUAUAUACAUAAAACUAUAUACAUGAAUUUAUAUUUAUUUUAAUAUAAUAAAGUAAAAGAUAGAAGAUUUAUGGGGUUUUAACGUUAAAACCCCUCAACUAAAUUUUUUUUAUAUUGACAUGUAAUAAAAAUUAUCUAAAAUUAUCUAUUAAAAUUAAUAAUUGAGUAUAAAAUAUGAUUAAUAUUUUUUGAAUAAUAUUAGGUUAUAUGUUUUCUGUGUGUUUUUAGUUUUAAAUUUUUAGUAUUUAAAUUUUUUAUUAAAAUAUGUUUUCGGAUAACAACACAAAAUAUAUAGGAAUUAUCUUUUAUUUUAAAAUAUAUCUUUCAGAUUUUGGAUAAGUUUUUUUAUUAUUAAUAAUAACUUAUCUAACCAAAUAAUUUUAAAUUCGUUUUUAUAUUUUAGUUAAUUUAGAGAUUUUAUUCAUUAAGGGUAUACAUGAUAUUAACCACUCUAACUUUUAACGUGAAAGCUCGAUUCCAAAAAUUUACUUCGCAAAUAAUAGUAUAGAUUACAGUUAUAGUUUGAAAUUUUGCAGUCUUAACUAAAUUAACUGACAAGUCUUUGGCCAUUUUCUUUUUAUGUUAGUUGAAGUAGUUUUGUGUUCCUCUGAUGUAGGAGAAUGUUAGAACAUUGAACCGAAGUUAAGACCGGUAGAAGAUUAAACCGAAACUAAACCGGUGGGAUAUUUAUUUAUUGGUGUCGGCUAUGGAUAUUUUCGUCGAAGUGGGGUCAUUGUAGUACUCAUGGAGUCUUUUCCACUUGGCAUUAAUCAAACUUUAAUUCUGUAACCGAUAAUCUUUAAUGUGCUAUUUAUGCAAACAUUUUACCUGCUUUAUUUUAAAUAAUUAAUUACUUAUCUUCAACUAUGUCUAAAAAAUACGUUUGGAUACCUUUUUGUUUUUAUUAUAGCCAAUAUUUUCACAAAGCCAAAGAAAAAAUAAUUCAGAUUCAUAUAGAGAAAGGCAGAUUCAGUUAGAUAUUUUGUAGCUUUCCCAUUGGUGUCAUGUAUGUUAUUGCACAAAAAUAUAUUUCAAUAAAAGAAAAGAUAUUACAAAAAGUGCAAGUCCAAACUCAGCAUCAAUAAUAUCUUUGAAUAAUAAACAUAAAAAUGUUAUAUCUUUUUGAAAAAUUAAUUAAUUUAUUAACUAAUGAUAUGUUGAUAACUAGUAAACUUCAAAAUAAUGAGUGUUAAAUUACUACUCCCUCCGUUUUUUAAUAUAAGUCGUUUUACAGCUAUGCACGUAGUUUAAAAAAACCACAUUAAUUUCUUAUAUUUUCUAAACAAAAACAUCAUUAAUUAUUUACCUAACCACAAUUCAACCAAUAGAAAAAUAGAAGAUAUAUUACUAUUGGUCAUACAACAUUAAUUAUUAAUAAAUUUUACAUAGAAAACCGAAAACGACAUAUAAUUUGGAACAAAAAAGUUUUUCUAAAACGACUUAUAAUAAAAAAACGAAGGGAGUAUUAGUUAUAACUACAAAAAUUAGUAAUCAUAAAAAUAAGUAGUUACAAUUAAAAUUUAUUUUAUUAUAUGUGAAAAUUUUAAAAAUCUAUUAAUUAGAACAAAAAGUUAUGGAGUAUCAUAUAACUCCAAGAGCCGAGUCCAUGCCGAUGCGUUCUUGGACCCCAUCUAUAUUUAUUUCUUCAAUUAUUUUUAUUUUGUAUUUUUGCCAAGAAUCUUUCAGUUAUUUCUCCACCUCAAAUUUCAGGAAAAGAAUAAUAUAAAAUUGCAAUCCUAUCUUUUCUUUCUAUCAUAGAAAAUAAUUAAUUACACAUUUUAAUAAUUUAAAUCAUAAUCAAGACUUAGUUAGGACGUGGGAUUGGAAAUUGUCUAGCUUUUCUAGAAGAAAAAGAAACGAAUUUGUCCAAAGAGUGACCCACAUCAACCCAAGAAACUUAUAAAUUAUAUUUAAAUAGUAAAGAGUUUAUAUAUAUAAGAUUAAAGAAAUCAAAAUCAUGGAAUCUAUCAAAGUCCAAAUCUCCAAAUCAGAUCAUCUCUCCUCCCAAAAGCCAAAGUCCAUACCUCUCUCCUUCCCAUUCAUUCAUCUUCUUCUCCAUGACUACAUCAGCUUCAAUGAACCCAUCUCUCUUUCGAGUAAUCUGUAUACUCCACUCAGUCAUUGCUCUAACAAGUGGGACCCUAAUGAUGUUCUACACAGAGAAGGCUUCCAUCUUCGGACCAGGAAGUGAGAUCGCUAGCAAACUCAAAGGAUCAACGCCGCACGAUGAACUACUCAUUCAGAUAUCUCAGUCUUUCUCCGGUUUGCUCCUCUUUGCUAUUGGUUUGAUACUGUUCAUGGUGUCUUUUGUUAAAGACAGAGAGUUUCACGGCUUCUUCGCUGGAGGGUCUGUGAUUCUCUACGUGUUGAUGGCUUCUUGGAGGGUUUUGUUCGAGUGGAAGAUUGAAGAUCUUGCUUAUGAAUGGCCUAAGCAAGCUCUUGGAGAUAUAGCUUUAGGGAUCUCUUGGGUUUUCUUUCUUGUUUAUUCAUGGAGAGAAAAGUAUGAUUGAUUGAUUGAUGUUUUUGAUUCUUGUUGUAACUUGUGGGCUAAGCAAGAACCUUUCAAUCUUCAGAUUUGGUAAGAGAGAAACUGAAAGCAUCUGUCGGAAUUCAGACAAGAUCAGAUCAGAUCAAACAAUAAAUAGUUUGGAUUCACAUCUUCAGAAGAUCAAGGAUUUUAUUUUGUUUGGUCUUUAAUUAUUGCUAUGUAUAUCCUUUAUAUUUUGCUGAACCAAUCCAAACUCAUUGUGAAAAGAGAAUCUGAGAUUCUGAUUUUUGAUUAAUUAAUUAUGAAAAAACUGAAAAUUACAUUCUAUCUUAUUAUCCUCUUGUCAAUUUGUAAAAAAAAAACGUAAAUAUAUGGUUAUGGGUCCGGUGUAGCCCAUUUUCAGCCACUAAUAAUGUAACUGAAUUCAGUAGGAUCAUAUGAUUUUUGGUUUGAUUUGAAUGAACCGCUUUAUAUUCAGUGAUGUAGAAUUAAAACUACAGUAAAAAUUAUAUAAAUUAAUAAUGUUGAAACUGUAAUAUUUUAAGAAAGUUAUAAUUUUAAUUCAAAUUUGAUAUCAUUUUACAAAUUUAUAUUUAAACGAUAAUUAUUUUCAUAAAUAUUUUAAAUUUAUUAUGAAAAUGAUAAAAUUAAGUCUCCUAAAUCAUUUAUAGAUGUUUAAAAUUAUUUAUAAAAUUUUAUAAAUCUAACCUUACCCCAUAAAUACUAAAAAUAAUCAUUAAACUGUAAACUAAUAUAUUAGAGUAUUUUUAUUAAGUGUAUUUUUUGAAAAUAGUAUACAAGUUAGUGUAUUUCAAACAAAUUUUUAAUAUUUUAUUAAUUUAUAAAAACAAAUAUCUAGAUUUAUAUAUCUUAGAAUAUAUUUUUUUAUGAAACAAAAAAAAUAUUUGAUUUCAUUUUUUAUAUAUUGAUUUUUUAAUUGAAUUUAACUUUAAUAAUUUUUAUUGUUUAAUGCUUAUGAAAUAUGUAACCUAUAAUUAAAAUAUGUUUUAUAUGUAAUUUUAUUAAUUAUCAUCCAUAUAUUAUGAAAUCUUAAGAAAAAUAGAAAUAUAUUUCACUGUAAAUAUAAAACAAACAAUACAAUAUAUUAUUUAUAUUUAUAUAAACUAUAUAUAUAAUGAAUUAAUUUAUGAUUAUAAUGGGAUCAUAUACAUAUGAAAUCUUUUAAAAAUUAUUAUCUUAUUAUUUAGGCUGUGGAAAACUUUACACCACUUCUAAAAUACUCACUAAUCAAUCCCUUGUUGAUUCUUUCUUUGAUUGUCAAUAAAAUUAGUAGACUCAUGUUAUCUUUUGUGGGAAAAAACUAUAUCGGCUUAAAUAGCCCAUUUAGGGCCCAUUAACUAUUAAAUUAUUUUUAACUGUACUUCCGGUAAAGCUUCUAAUUACAGUUCUCAUUUCUUCUUUUUCUCCCGAAGAUUCUCUCUGGUUCUCCGCUGCUCGACUCUUCCUCCUUUAAGCCGACCAAAGGUCAGUUGUUUAUUUAAAUCUCCGAAGCUUCUUGUCUUGAUCUGUUUUGUUUCUCUAAUUCUAAGAUCAUAUUCAUAUGACGGUGCGAUUGAAUUUUAGAAACAGCUUCCAUUGGUUUGUUUGCCUGCUUGCUCGUUCAUUGGUUUAAUAGAAUUAUAGUUUUUAGUUAAAAUUGUUUCUGAAUUUUUAUUCAUCUGGGUAAGAGAUUUCGUAAUUUGAGGUUCUGGGUUUUAAGUUCCGACCAAUGUCUUUAAAGGGUUUUGCCUGAUUUGAUUUAUCUAUGCUCCGGAUUACUGAAUCUAUCAAUCAUUCACAAAGUUUGAAUUUUUUUAUUAGGGAGUAUCAUGUUACCAAAGCAGGUUGCAUUGUUGAUAAUUAAUACUUUCAGACUAUAUUGGUUUUAAUUUAGAAGACCAUUUCAAUUGGUUGUAGGAGGCUUUAAACCCCUUGGUGUAGCUAAAAGAAGCUAUCUUCCAUGUUUAUCAUUGCUCUUUUGUUACUCUUAGAAGAGCUUUUAGAUGUUUAAUGUUUUAUUGGAUAUAUUCGUGUAGCUACAAGAAGCUAUAUUUUCAUGGCGUUAACAUUGUGAGAAAAUGAUUGUAGGAUGAGUGGUUUACAAGCACAAGAGAGUGCGUGUUCCUUGAGCCAGCCAAGCAAAGAUGUGGCUGCCACCGAGACAAAGCCAAAGAAGAGGAUAUGCUGUGCUUGCCCGGAUACAAAGAAGCUAAGAGAUGAGUGCAUUGUAGAAAACGGUGAAUCUGCCUGCACCAAAUGGAUCGAAGCUCAUCUUAUGUGUCUUCGCUCUGAGGGUUUCAAAGUUUGAGAAUUGUUUAAAGACAACACAAUAGAUUGUUGAUUUUGUUUUUCUGAAACUUACACAACACAACAAGUCAUGUAAUAACAGAGCAAACAGAAAGAGUUGCAUUGGUCAAGAUCAAAUCAAAUCUCUUACGUUUUUUGUGUGGUCAAGAUCAUCAAAUCAAAACUAUAUAUGUACUCACAUUUAUCAGUGUGAUUUUUUAUAUCUCCAGCUUCCUUUUUAAAACUUGUAAUUUUCUUGGUCAAAGUCCAACUUGUUUAUUUAUUUAUUACUUUAGAAAGUAAUAAUUGUUUAUUUAUUUUAUUAAUGUAUUUUUGUUAAAGAUUAUCUUAUCUUCUUUUUGAUUAGCUAGGAGUAGGACUAGGAAGGAUUGCUCUGUGAAUAUCAGAGAUUAAAAAAAUUGACAAAACUAAAACCGUAAGCUCUCAUAUCCAACGGCUGUAAACUCCUGAACUCUCACCUUAUUGGCUUCAUCACAACCGUGGAUUCAGCCACGUCAGCAUAAUAUGGGGAAAUUAAUGUUCGGUUUCAGUGGGGUCCAUACGCAGAGACCUUGUGUUCUAAGUCUUUAAUUGUCUUAAAAACAUUUAAACCCAAAAAUGGACGAAUCAUAAUUAAAGAAAGUAAUAAAGACAUUAACAAGAGGAAUUGGACUCUCGUUUUUGUUAUAAAAAGAGAGCAUUCAAAGGGAUUUUGAUAAAAAUCUUCAAAAACAAUAUAUAAUAUAUGGAGCCCGACGUGGUGGAGAUCGCUCCUCCUCUGUUCCCUUCCGGUUCAAGAACUCGUAAACCCAGAAAGGUUCGAUCUUUAUCCUCUUUAAUCAUCCACAAUUACGAGAUCAAUCUGUUUUGACUGUGCUCAAUUUUACUGGUUUCACCUCGGAAAAAAGUGAACUUUUGUCCUUUUUAGAGCCUCCUUGUUGCUUGCUGAUCAUCUGUGUUUUAGGGCUUAUGUGGGUUUUUGAUUGUGUUCUUAAAGUUUGAUCCUUUGAUCUUGUUGUAGGCUGUGAUUCCUGAAGUGAUCGAUGUGGAACAAUACGAGUUCCGCAACAACAACAAUAAUGGUGUUAUAGAUGUGAAGAACAAAGGGAAAGCUAUACAAGACGGGUCCUUUUAUGAUCACAACCUCUUUGAUCAUGUGGACAUUGAUGACUACUCCAUGUUUCAAGCAGUUCUAAACUCUCAGGACUUCCCAACCGAUGCUGAAGUGUUCAUGUCCACUACUCAGCCUUGGGGGUUUCCAAAUUCCAAGGGGAGUAGAAGCAGCUCGACGGAAGCGGUUUGGAACACAUCUAUGGAGACUCCUCAGUCAUGGGAUUUCUUCUCUGGUUUGGCUUUCCCUCAAACUAGCAGCUACUCUUCGGUUUCAUCAUCCACUACUAAGGUUCUGCCUCAGGCUCCUGAUAUAGUGAUGGUGCCAGCUCCUCCUCCUUCAAGAUCUUUUAAACUUGAUGGUUCUGGUAGCUCUUCCAAGACUCUAGCGGCUGAGGUUGUUCCUUCAGCUCAGGCUGACUUUCUGAAGAGCUUUAAAAGGUUUGAAACUGUUGAUGACUUCUCUGAUCAUCACUAUGCUUCUAAAGGGAAAGCUUCAAAGCAGGUGAUGAUUAAACCUUCAUUGUUAAAGAAAUCGCUAGACGGUGGUUAGACGCUUUAUUAUUUUAAAAAAAAUCUAUUUGGAAAAAUCGUUUCGCUCAUACCCUAUUUGUUAACUAGGCGCCUGGGCGCCUAGACUGAUUUUUAGAACACUGUUAAAACUUUAUCAUCUCAGGGGUUGUUUCUUUGAUAUUCAUGAUGCAUCUCUUUAAUCUUAACAGCACUCAAAGAAUUGGGUGAAGAAGGUUCAAGCAGAUUGGCAGAUUCUUGAGAAUGAUUUGCCAGGUUAGGUUUAUACACUAAUGCAGAUCAAUGCUUGCUACUUUCUUUCUUAAAUCUUACUCUCUUUCUUUUUUUGCAAAUAGAGACUAUAUUUGUGAGAGCUUGUGAAACAAGAAUGGAUCUUUUGAGAGCUGUGAUCAUUGGAGCUGAGGGAACUCCAUACCAUGACGGUCUUUUCUUUUUCGAUAUUCAGUUCCCUGAUAGCUAUCCUUCAGCACCACCAGUAUGUUGUCAACAUGUGUUUCUGUUUUUGGACCUUUAAUGAUGACUUGAAGUUUCUACUUUGUCGUUGACAGAAAGUUCAUUACCAUUCUGGUGGGCUAAGAAUCAACCCGAAUCUAUACAACUGUGGUAAAGUAUGUUUGAGUCUUCUCGGUACAUGGACUGGUAACUCUAGGGAGAAAUGGCUCCCAAAGGAGUCUACAAUGUUACAGCUUCUUGUCUCAAUCCAAGCUCUCAUCUUGAAUCAAAAACCGUACUUCAACGAACCUGGCUACGAGAUGACCAUGGGGACUCCAUCAGGCGAGGCUCAUUCCAAAGUUUACAGUGAAAAUGUAUUCAUAUUGUCGUUAAGGACAAUGGUUUACAGCAUGAGAAACCCACCCAAGGUACAAAACUUAGUCUAAACCGGAUUACUUAUUACUUAAAAACUUUUUAACAUUGUCAUGUCUUCAUAUGUGCAGUACUUUGAAGAGUUUGUUCGUAGCCAUUACUUUGUGAGGGCACUUGACAUAGUGAAAGCUUGUAAUGCUUAUAAAGACGGAGCUCCCGUUGCUUCUAUAGUGAAAGGUGGCGUCCAAGACAUUGAAGAGACUAGUGAGAGCGGUUCCAAGAAGUUUAGGAACGAUGUGGCUGCCUUUAUGAAGACAGUUGUGGAUGAACUCGUUAAGUUAGGAGUGAAGGAGCUUGAAGAAAAGCCCAAACCACUUCCUGAGAACAAUGCUAACGCAGAGAGUAUCAAAGGAAACCGUAAGAGAAGCAGAUCAGUUAGGUGAGCCAAAGCCACCAUUUUGUUUCUCAUGUUUCUAAUAAUUUGGAAGUAGAGGGAAAUAGGAAAAGUAAUUUUUGUUGUUUUCCCCAAAUUUGUGAUAAUAUAUGUUAUGAUGAAUAUUAUUGAGAAUAGGCCCUUGGCAUUUUUACUUCGAACCGAACCAAAACAAUCUAAACCGAGAUGAACAUCUAAUUCUAACCGAAAUUAAAACUGAAUGGGUAUCCAAAAUUUGAAUACAAUUUAUUUAUUUAUAAUAUUAGCUAUAUUUAGUUUUGGAAUAAUCAAAUGUUUUAAGUAUUAUAAACUGAAUAUUUAAAUCCUUAAAAUGAUAUAAUAUUUGAAUUUUAUGAGUAGUUUUAUCCAAAAUAUCUGAAAUUAGCCAGAUUAUUCAAUAUUUAAUGAGAAUUUUUAUCUGAAACUCCAAAAUUAUGCAAAAAUCUUUAACCGAAAUUAACAUGAAUUUUCAAAUACUAACAUGUUUCCUAAUUUUGUUAGCCGAAAAACCAGAAUUGAAACUAAAAGGAAUUUAAAAAAUACCAGAACGGUUUUUAAAAAAAAUUCAAACAAACCAAGCAAAAUAAUAAUCGAAUCGUCCAUGCCUAGUUGAGAAACUUAUAAUAAGUUUUUUUGUUCUUUGAAAGCCUUAAAAUUAGUUUUCAUAUACAUUUUAAUUGAUGAUGAAAUUUGAUGACUUAUGUACUGUUAGUAUACGUUUUCAUUGAUUACUUUUAGAUUGUAAUCUUGACUCAGACUAUAUAGUAAUGAUUAUAGAACUAAUAAAAGGUCAAGCCAUUCCCCAGUUUUUGCAGGACAUGUGUCCUCUGUUUCUGACUAAACUCGCCAUUUGCAAAGCACAUGAAGGUGAAUCACCGUGAAGAAUAAAAUUAGCAAGUGGAUUUUUGGAUUUAAAGAGCUCUUGAAAAAGAGUAAAAUAUAUAUGUACAGCUUUCGACAAAUCCAAAACAGGCUUGUCAUUGUCAUGAAUCUGGCAAAUCAUUACGGCAAGUAGGACACGUGAGAUGAUUCUUGAGCCAAGCAUCAAUACAAACCGCAUGAUACAUAUGUCUGCAAACCGGAAACACUCUACAUUCUUCAUUCACAACAUAACCACUGAGACAAAUGGCACAUUCUCUCGACCUCUCUUCGUCCUCGUGGCUGUUGCCUUGUCCAACACGCAAUUUCGGGAGUAGGGUUUCAAUCUCGCUUUGUGUCAACCCUCGUUUUCUUUUUUCUUCUCUCUCGGAAUAUGGUAAGUGUAGAUCGGUCGGGAUGAUUGCAUGGUACGUAACGAUUCUAGCACGGUGUUGGCCUCUUUGGACUCCGAUCUCGAGAUCUAGGUCGAGACAUGUUCCUAAGAAUGGUCUGAGAAUACAGUCGAUGAUGACGUAGAUUACAAGGAUGAUCGCUGAGGUUGCUAUUAGAACAAUAAGCAAGAAGCAGAGACCAAUGAAAACGGCAAGGCCAAGCACGGUGAUGAAACUAACCACAUCUUCGUCUGAGCUCAUCAUUUUUUUUUGUUGAAAGAAAGAGGUUUCAGAUUUUUUUUUUUGUUCAAGAUGAUGACUUACAUGUGACAACACAAAGAUUUAAACUGAUUUAUAUUUAGUAAUGAAACCUGUAGUUCAGUUGUUUAUGAUAAGCCAGGGUCAUUGACUUGUGUGUAUUUCUAAAUUUAGGGUUUGGUUUCAAAUUCAUAUCUUCUGUCUUUUAUGAUUUAUAUGUAUUUAUAUAGUUGUUAUCUCAACAUUAUCCGAAACCGUUAGAAGGAUAAUAGCACUAACUGACUUAGCUAUGAUCCAUUUUUUUAAACAACAAUUGUGGAAAUCCUCUAGUCUAGUCUAGUAUAAUAGUUAAGUGAUGGUUUAUUAAAUACUUUUAUGCCAAAAAUAGUCCAAGAAACAAUAAUCUGAAAUCGUUAGAAAUACAAGUAAGCACAACAUUGAAUAUAUUGGAGAAGAGAUACUUCAAAUUUAUUCAUUCCAAACAGCAAAUGAACCAAUAAGAGAAACUUAAACUUUAGAUAGCAAAUGGUCGUUGUUCUUAACCAAGGGUGAGAUAUUCGAUUGGGGAAUAGAAACUUAAACUUUAAUCUAUUCACUUCAAAUGGUAGAUGAACUUAAAUUUCUUCACAGGGUGGUGAAGAAGAAGACAACCCUGGUGGUGACGAUGAUUACUCUUCUGAAGAUGAUGAAUCUUAUGAAGAUGACUCUCAUAAAUUCUGAAUGCAAGAUCUUUAUGAAAAGUUAUUUAUAAUAUCCUUUUCCUUGCAUGGUACGUGAAGGUGAUCGAUCGCGGUUCAGAACAAACUCAGGAUACUCGAACUGAGAUGACUCUCAUAAAUUCUGAAUGCAAGAUCUUUAUGAAAAGUUAUUUAUAAUAUCCUUUUUCUUGCAUGGUACGUGAAGGUGAUCGAUCGCGGUUCAGAAGAAACUCAGGAUACUUUAACUGGACCAAUAACGAGAGGAAGAAACAGAGAUCUUCCUAUCCUAUCGACUCACGGAGUGCAUGUCGAACCAGUCCCAGCCGACAUAGCUCCCCGGAUUCACAACGUAAACUGUCAGAAAAUUACGAGAGGCAGAGAGAUAAGAGAUAUAAUCAAGUUUUGCCUCGCUACUCUCCACAGUGAAAUAACAGGGAAUGGAGACCGGUGAGGUUGGAACAAGGUGAGGAAAAAAGGAACAAGGUAUCGACACCAGGGACUGAAGACGAGGAGGUCGAAACUAGCUUUAAUUAAUUGCAUAAGCAAAUAUAAUCAGUUAAGUUUUCAGAACGGAUAUAGACAAUUUACAAAAUAGUUUAAAUAUUUUGUUAAUGCUAAGUGAUUUAUACGUUAGAUGCAUAAAAGAUAAAUUUAAAUUAUUAAAAUAAUUUUAAUAGUUUGGAAUUAUUAUUAUGAGUAUAUUAAGUGUGUAAAAAAACUAAAAAGAUUAAGCAAAAACAAAGUUAAAAUAGAGAUUUUUUUUUUUGAAUUCUUUAUGAUCAUUUAUGUUCAUACAAAGUUAUUUUAAUAUAUUUAUAGUUUAUAUUUUUGUGAAAAUUUAUUUAUAAUAUCAUUUUUGCAUCGGUUAUUUAUGACAUAUUGUAAGUUUAUCUGAUGGUAAUCAACUAUUAUUAAGUGAAAGUCACUUAGUUUGUAGUCUUGUACCCAGGGGCGAAGCCAGAAUUUUAUUUUAAUGGGUGCACAUCUUAUAUAAUUAAAAUAAAUACCAAAAGAAGGAUCGAACUUGAGAUAUCAAUGGGUGCACAAGUACACUCUUACCAUUUUUCCUAGCUAAUUUUCUUGGCAGUUUAGAUACUAAAAUCAUAAUAUCUAAAAGAUUACGGGUGCACGUACCCCCAUUAGUCAUGCACUGGCUACGCCCCUGCUUGUACCCAAUCUGACCUUCUAUAUACAUUUUUAAUGAUCAACCAUGAAAAUUGGCAUGUCUUUUGAAAUUCGUUUUGCAGAAAUUGUUGUUAAACUUUGAGUAAUCGUUUAACUUGUCCCUUUAUUUAGGAUCAGUCACAAAGAUAAAAAAGAUAAUAUACCAAAAUCAGUCAGUAUUAAGAUUUUGCAAAUGUUUAUUAUAGUGUAAAGCUAAGGGAAGGACUUUAAUUACAGAAAAAAAAAGAGAUAUUGUCGAUCUAAGCUUAUCAUUAUGGCUCUAAAUAGUGGCCAUUAAAAUAGGAAUAUGAAUGAGUAGGAAAUAAAUGAAUAAGAACGAAAUAAAAGAAAUAAAAAUGAAUAUUUAUUCAUUUUGUUCCAUAACAAAAUGACAAGGACUCAAACGCAGCGAAAAUUUUCCAUAUGUAUACGAACUGAUUUUGGUUUAGCAUCAUUGAUAGGUUGUUAUAGAGGUCGAUAACUUACCAACCUCUUCAAUAUGAUCGAGCUUUCAUAUACUUGUAAGUGCCUGCUUCUCUAUAAAACCAAAAUACUAUUACCUCUGAAUUUAAAAGGUUGAUGUUUAGGACGUGUACACAUGUUAAACAACUAAUUAAUUAUUAUUUGUUAAUUAAUUUUAGUUAGUGUUAUUUGUUUCCCAAUAAAGGUUGAUAUACUUUUAUUAAUAUUUUAAUUAAUAUUUUUAGUUUUAAAUGAAAAUGCAUUAAUUAAAGUCAAAACAUCAAAAUCUUUUGUGUACAACGAAAAAAACUAAAACAUCAUUUUUUGUACACGGAGGGAGUACUAAGCAAUGAAUCUACACCUGUAAAAAAAUUAUUUUCAUGUAUGUAAAACAUUUGAAGAAAAGAAACACACUUGCUUUUAUGUCAUCUUAUUGGCAUAAGCUCUCGUGUACAUCUAACAAAGGGAAAAAAGUUGGUGUAGAUAUGCAAAAAAAAUAUUUAGGAAUCACAAAGUAAUGGACAUCUUGUAAUUAAGUUCCUAAGUCGCCGGAUUGAUAUCCCACAUCUUCUUUUAAGCCUUGGCAAAUUCUGCAUUUUCACCCUAAACAUAUAUAGAGUUUGAUGAACAGCUUCUAGAUGAAAUGAAGAUAUUUAAAACUAAUUGAAUUAAAUAAGAGAAUUAACAUAAAUGUAGACGAUAUAUCUGUUUGUACGAACCCAAUGGGGUCUGUUUUCAAAGUACUAGAAGAUGAAAGUUGAUAAUUAAGAGUAAGAAAUGAUAAUAUUGGAUAAGCAGGGAUAUGAAAAAGAAGUGCCUAAGUAGUAUUCUUAUUACAAAUCUCGAUUGUUUUAGAGUAGACAAUAACUUUUUUGGUUUAAAAUUUACUUCAGAAUAUAAGAAAAUACAUAGAAACAAUUGAAAAACAUGGAAUCGUAAUUCACACGAGCAUGAACGUAAACAAUACCAAUUAUAUCUCCUCAACAAUAACUUAACUAAAUGAUUAAAAGAAAUUCGAAAAUAUCCGAAUAAUUAUUAUACCUUAUUAUCUCCAGUUUAGUUUGACGAUCAUAGGUGAUUUGACAAUUUUAUGUUAACAUCGUUAACACUUGAAUCGUGCAUUUCCUAAUUGACAAGUUCUUAAAACUCGGUUAAAAAACGAGAUAGUCGAAGUCAUCAAACCAGGAGUAUACCAUCUCGAGACUUCAACAGGCAAAGCAGUACCGAGAGCUUGGAACUCCAAACAUCUCCGCCUCUUCCAUCCUUAGUCGAGACGAACGCCUCACCGAGUAAAUGCGCCACAAAGGCCACUUUUACUCGAUCUCUUAAAAAGGCGAAAGAACGACCAACGGUCACGUUCUCUCGCUUAAAAAAAACACACAACAUUUUGCCUUCCACUGGUUAUUUAUCGGAACUUUGUCUUCCACUCCGGGCAUACACGACAUAAUAGUUUUAAGGCAAUCACUAUUGAUCGUAGCCGGGAAUGAUGUCAACAUCAUCACAAAGACGAUGCACAUCAAUGGAAUAAACUUCAUUUUGGGUUAAUUAGUAGCGCUCGUGAUAAUUUGCCUCAGAAUAAAAUAUUUUUUGAGAAAUUUGAAACUAUUUAUUUUGGAAAAUAUUGUAUGUUCUGAGGUAGUUAAAUAGCAAGCUGAAAUGAGCAAAAAGUGGGAAUAUUGAAGGUGGAAAUCGAGUACUAAACAUAAGGGAGGCUACAUGCACUGAUUUCUAUUUUUUUUUUGUCAAAAUUUCUAUUUUUAGUUACAAAGUGUUAAUCUUCAAAAAAAAAGUAUGACUUGAUCAAAUGAGAGAUUCAGGGCCUGACUGAUUCAAACGCAGCGGUUGCGGUUGCGGCUGCGGGCGUUUGCAGAUGCGGACGGAGCGGUUUGAAGCGAUUUGUAACGGUUUGUAUGAUUGUUUCGGAACGCUGUCAACCGCCACUAACCUCAAAAGCUGCGUUUGCGGAUGGUAGUGGGGAAACCAGUCAAGCUAUCAAUGAGAGUGCUUAUAAAUCGAUCUCUUAGUGAAAAGUUAUUUAUAAUAUAUUUAUAGUUUAUAACUUUAUAUCUUUAUGAAAAGUUAUUUUUAAUAUUUUUGCAUCAGUAAUUUAUUUUAUGGUAAUCAACUAUUCUCUCUGUUUCAAUUUACUUUGUGUUUAAGGUUUUUUUUUGCACACCAAUUAAAACUGUUAAAUUUUAUUUAUUUAUUUCUUUUUACAUUAACUAAAGCUAAUUCAUAAAAUAUAGUAUAAAUGGUUAAAACAUCAAAUAAUAUAUAAAUAUUUUAAAAAAAUUGAAAUCAUUAGUUAAAUUGAUAUAAAAAUAAAAUCUUAAAACAUCGAUUAAAAUUAAACAUCGACUUAGGUGUAGUCUUGUACCUAAUCAUAUAUAUUAAUUGAAAAUUAUUUAAAAAAUAGUAACCUAUUUUAUAUUAAUUAAAAAAGAGAUUUGAUGAUGUGUCACUUAAUUAGAAUGUCAAUUUGUCUUACGUGACAACAUAAUAAUCAAUUGAAUAAUUUGUAGGUCCAAAAUCCAAUUGCUAAGGUACAUUAUAUUAACUCAAAAUAUAAGAAACAUGUAUUAUUUUCUUAUAUAAAAGCUACGGUGUUACCUAAUAUGAUUAACACAUAUAUGAAAAUUAAUGAUUAUAUAUAAAAUAUUUGACAACAAUUUUUGUAUCAUUCUUCAUUUUUGUUUAAUUUUAUAUUAUUAAAAGAAAUUUAACAAUCAUAUUAACCAUAUAAUAAAAAAUUUAGAUUUUUCAUACAUGUUAUAUUUUAAUUUUCUAAAACGACUUUAAAUUACAAAAAAUUUAAACAUUCCUUUGAAAAAUUUAUGAUCAUUAGCUUUAUUUGUUUUGUUAUAACAAGAUACAAUGAUCAUAAAAUUGUAUUAAUAUCAAUUUUUAUUUAAUAGAUAUUCACAUAAAAAUAUAUAUAUAUAUUAAUAUUUUUUAAAUUAAACUAUGUACCAUACCAUUUAAAAAUACAUAAAUAUGUCAAUUUUGAAAUUUGCAUUGAAAGAGUAUUGAGACUUUAAUAUUUUAAUUUUAAAAUUUGCAUCGAAAAAUAUCACAUCAAAAAUUUGGGAUUAAUGAUUUAAAUUUUUUGUUACAUCAAAUAUACAAAUUUUUAUAAAACCAUAUAAGUAGAAAGUCUCAAUAAUAAGUAUUAUAUUAAAAUAUGCUAUAUAUUUAUGUCAAUACCAUUGGAAUAUAGUUAUAUACCAUAUUAAAUAAAUAAAAUGAUUAUUUUGAUUUAUUCACCAUAGGUAUAUUGUAAAUACACAAGAGGUAUUAUGUUGAUUUAUGUGAUUACUCUAAUCUCCUAUAUAUUAAUUGAGAAAUAAUUCAGCAUGUGUAAGAUUUUAUAAAUUAAUAUUGUUCAAAAAUCCUACAAGAGAUCGAUACAACAAGAUUUAUUUAGAAGCUAUUGAAAUCACAUAGUCGAGAACACAAAUUGUACAACAAAUUUGCUUUCCUAACCUAACCCCUUUCUAUUCGUCACAACACCGAGAGAUAAUAUUUGGAAGUGUCGAUUUACAAUCUUAAAUGAUAAAUUUUUUAUGUUCAGCCUAUUGUUUUUCUUAAAUUGACUUAAAACAGUUUUUAAUGAUUAAUCAAAUGGACCACAUACAUAGUAAAAUGUGUUUUGGUUUAAAAAUGAUUGCAUACCCAAAAUUAAUAUGAACAAUCAUCAUUUUCGCUUAAAAUUUUGUCACAAUAAAAAUACAGGGUUUGCAAAAAAUCCAAAUCCAAAAAAAAAAACCGAACCAAAACCGAUCCAAAAUAUAGUACUGAACUUUAACCAAAUUGAUUAGAUAUCCGAAUAGGUUCAAAAUUUUGGUAUCUAGAGAACCGGAACCGAAAUAUUUCGGGUAUCAAAAUAUAUCCGAACCAGAUUUAUAUACUUAAAUAUAUUAAUUAUUUUUAAAUUUAAUAUCUAAAAGAAUAUACAAAAUAUACAAGAUGUUUUUAAGUUGUCCAAAAUACUUGGAAAUAUAUACAAAUAGUUAUAAGUACAUGUUUAAAAUAGUUAAACGAUACUUAAAAUACAUAAAAUACUUAAAAUAUCUAUUGAUCUUCUAUCCAAAUAUUUAAGUUAAACCAAUUUUUAUGUUAAGUUUACCUAAAUCUCAAUCCUAAUGAUGAAUAUCACAACUAGCAAUCUAUAGUUGGGGCUGAUAACCUAUUUAAACCUUAAACCUAACAAGAGAACUAUUCAGACAUGGCUAAGCAAACAAGAAAGCACAUUUUGCCUCUAACAUGUUGGUAAGCUAUAAAUAUUAGGUGAAAACUUGUCAAGGGUAAUCUUGUAAAUUGGUGAAGUCUUGUGCUCUAAAUCGGCUGGAACCGAAUGGCUUCUGCGCGCUUCACUGUCGAUCGAUGUCACAGGGUGUAGAACACUUUUCCUUGUUUUUAAAUGUACUUGUGUAAUCGAAUCAGGGCCGAAUAUUAUAUGAUAUGCUGUAAGAACCACCAAUCUUUUGUAGUCUUACGCAGUAGCAUACUACUAGGAUAAUAUAUAUGAAUACUUGUGUUUAAUUAAUACAUCUAAUAAAGAUAAUGAUUAUAUUAUAGAGUGAGAAUAUGUAGUCAUAUUCAGUGUCGUGCGAAGGUUAUUAGGGGUCUAGGAUAAAAAUAAUUUAUUUUAUAUCAAAUAUGCGUAUUAAUUUUUUUAAUACGAACCAGAAAAUAAAUUGUUUUCUUAUCUUAUAUUUUAAAAUAAUUUUUAAGAAAAAAUAAUCUUAUGAAAAUUAAUGGCAAAAGUUAUAUUUUGGUUACAACUGAAAAUUGUAUAUACAAACUCAAACUAUAUGCAGAGAAGACAUUCAAAAUAAAAAAUAUAGAAUGAAAUUAAUAUUCACAACAACUAAGUAGAAAUAGUAAUAUUAUUGAAAAGUAUUAAGAGAUAAUUAUAGUUUUUAUCGUAUCAUAUAUUAAUUAUAUGAUUUAUGAAUAUAGAAGUCCCAAAAUGUACUAAUGUGAGAAGGGGUCUGGAGCCAAUGCCCCAAAAUUGAUAAGGUGAGCACGGCUCUGGUCAUAUUAUUAUUAUUAUUAUUAGCUUCAAUCAGGAGAGCAUUUGACUAGGACAGCAGAACGUGAUAUAUGCUUGAAAGAGGUGUGUCAAUUGUGUGAGAGAAAUCUGAGAUCUUGGUCCCAUUGUCUCAUUGACCUUAAAGACGCUUAUUAAACGACUUGUAACCAACAAGAGCUACUCACACACAUCGAGAGAAAAUAAUGAUUCAUCAGGAUUCAAUCUGUGAAAGGUUUUAUUGAUUUUCAAAUCAGAAAAACAAUUAGCAAUUAGUGACAUUUCUCUAUUAUACUAGUGGGUAUGUACAAUCAUAUUUUAGAUGUGAGAUUUCCAACAAUGACGUUGCUGUUUCUCUUAAUAUAUUUUUAAAUGUUUUCUUUAUGUUUAUCUUUUAUGUUUUUUUUUGCUUCUGUGGAAUGGUCCUUCUGAAGUGAUUGUGGAAGGUGGAUGGAUGUACCUACUAAUAGAUUCAACAACUGAAUUAUAUCACGCAAUUUUAUGCAGACUAGGCUAUCCGUGUCAGAUAACUGUAUUGUACUUCAAAAAAGUUUAUAGCGAAAAAGUUCAAUGCAUAAAUGAAAAUAAUAUUACAAACUGCAAUAUUUAGAAAUAUAAUUACUUGCAAAUCUAGUAUUUAAUGUGACAUAUAAUUGAAAUAUAUUUUUACUUGUAUAUUUAUAUACCAAUGUAUUAUUUUCAAAAUUAUACAAAAAAAUAAUACAAAUGAAUUGUUAAUGGGUUCAGAAGUACACGACAACUGGAAAUUAUGAUUUGAUCAGUUGGUCAUGUGUGAAGGUCCCUAUAAAUAGGAUACUUAUAUAAUUUUAUGAAUCUUAUUAUAUAAAUAAUAUCAAUGAUUUUUUAAUUAAUUGAGUGAUUAAUUUUAUUUUCUAGAUAUUACUGUUUAAGAAAUAUUAUAAUCAGUUACAGAUGACAAAUGUAUAUUUCUCUUAAAAAACUUAUUUUCAAAUAAUAUUUUUAAUAAAUAAAUUAUCAAUCUAUUUUUAAUCAGUAACUCUAUUUUAAUUAGAGGUAUUUCUAAAAUAAUGUAAUAAAUAUUAAAAUUAUUAGUUUUACUUGUAAUGUAUUUUUGAUGAUAAUUAGAAAAUAAGAAUAUCUUUAAAUAAUCUAAUCUCAUAAUCUGAAAUUAUAUUUAAAAUAUAUAUUUUAAAAUUAUUAUAAUGCUAAAUAAAAAAAUUCAAAUAAUUGUGGUCAAGAAGUUAAAAUUAUGGUUGUCAUUUCGAUGAAUAGUAUAUUGUUAAACUAGUGUAAUAAGUUAUUAUUACGUUGUAGAACUCAAAGUAAUUUAUUUAUAUUUUAAAUAUUAUAAAUUUGAUUCGCUUAUGUAAUUACAUACCACUUCAUUUUUUAUUUUAUUUUAUUUUAGACAAAAACAAUAUAUAUCAAAUUAUAUAAUUCAGUGGAUCUUUUUUCAAAAAAAGGAAGACUUUUUCAAAAAAGAAGAAGAAGAUAUAAGACUACAAAGUGAACGUGGCUAUAUUAUUAAUCAGAAAUGCAUUCAAUCUGGACAGCAUUUAAUUAGGACCGCAGAACGUGAUACACAUGCCUUCUUUAUUCAUUGUGUGAGAGAGAUUUGAGAUUUUGGUGCCAUUAUCUAAUUGACCUUCAAGACGCUUAUAAAGAGACGGUUUUUGUUGCCAACAAGAGAUGUCACAACGAGAGAGACAGAGAGAGCACUGACUUGAUGGAUGAAAUUAGGGUUUUGUACCGUUUGGUAAUAACGGUUAUGUGCUUUGUGUGUUUAGGGCUUAGUGUUGGGAUGUGCUCAGAGUCCGAUGCCUUGAUCAAGACUUACGUGUCUUCCACACUACACUCUGAUGACUUGCUCAGUUCCACAAAGCUCCAAAUUAUCAACCUUUUUUUUGCUAUCUUAAAUAUCGUGGAUUAUAAAAAAUUUGUAGGAUAAUCACACUAUGCACAACCCAUCUUUUAAAAUGAAAUCAUUGCAUUUUUUAUUUAAAUCUCUGUUUUGUUCUUUGUGUAUAUAGUCCACGAAGUCACUAAAUCGGACUGGGAUUCAUUGGUGAUGGAGUCCAAAGCCCCGGUGAUGGUUUUGUUCACAGCCUACUUGUGCCCAACAUGUUUUAUCAUGAGUUUCAAUAUGGACACUUUGGACUUGAAAUUCGCAGGGAGGUUCAAAUUCUACAGUGUCGACCUUGAUGACGAGCCAGAGAUCGGAGCACGUUGGGGUGUACUAACUUGCCCCACCACAGUUGUUUUCAAAUUGGGAAAAGUAAUGGAUAAGCGCACAGGAUUUCUUAACGAAGCGACACAGAUGGAUAUCGUCGAGAAAUAUAUAUGAGAACUCUUGGGCAUUGAGUCUUACGUAUGGUUUUUAUAUCUAAAAAUGUUUGAGUGUUGCGCAGGGCCGGCUCAACACUUCUAGAGGCCCUAGGGCAAAAAAAAAAAAUUUUACUCUCUAAAAUUUAUAUAGAGAUAAUGUUUAAAAUAUUUUUAAAAUUUAAUCCAUAAUAUUUUGUAUAUUUUGUAAUGAAAAUAAAACUAUAUACAUAUCAAAUAAUUUUGGGCCCUUUUCAAUUUUAUUUAUUGUAUUUAUAAUUUUUUUUAUAUAUAAAAAUAUAGAUUUAUAAAAAAUUGGGCCCCUUAUUUAUCAUUACACGGAGGGACACGGACUCGGACCCGGGACGGUCGCACCGCUUGUCCCCCCUUGUAAGCCGGCCCUGGUGUUGCGUGUAUCUUUAUGUUAUUACGCAAAAAUAAAAUUACUACAACAUGAUUACUCGAGAAAAAUAGCAUCUCCUGAGGUAACAGUUUCUCCUUCCAACGUAUUAUAAUACUUCCGCGUAAUGUCCUUACCAUCAUUGCUCUUGAGGAUAGUAAGACUUUGACCGUCAUUAACAACUCUCUGUAAAAAUGGAUUGUUUGAUUGAAAGAUACAAAGUUGACUUGUAGUUUUUGGUGAUUUUCAAACAUAGGAUGUAGACUAGAAUGAGAGUUUUACUCCUAUUGCAAAAUUAGUGACCCCAAGAGCUUUUCUCAAACUCGCAGCUUUUCAAGAUUGAAAAGUGUAUCAGAUGGAUGUUAAUAAUGUGUUUUUAUGGUGACCUUGAUGAAGCAAUUUCGGUGCGAUCACAUAUAGAUGUUGAUCCAAGGAUCAUGGAAAAACAAGUUUUGUCGUUUGCAAUAAAUCACUUUAUAAUUUUAAGGAAGCUCUACGGUGUUGGUUUGAAAUACUAACAUUUUUUAUAACUCAAAAUUUGGUUUUCCGGCCUUAAGAUCUGUACCAUCUGGGUAAUGCAUAGGUAGUGAACGGUGUGAAGAGGCACUAGAAAAAUAGGAGAAGUGCUAUGUUGUUGGUAGAGCUCCUAUUCCAAGUUUCUGAAAGUAUAUAUAGGGAACUUCAACAAACGCCCUUGCAGCUAAAAGAGGAUCCAUAGCAGCUCAAAGUACUUGAAAAUGGGCUAUAUGAUGGUAACAUAAAAUGGAAUCAUAAAGCUCACGGAGUCGAAACCUUGAAUCUUCAAUGUGCCAAAGAAGCAUGUCCUAGCGUACAAAUACAGAUCAUGCUUUCGAAUUUUACACUUCAACCCUUUUCCUUGUUUUUAAGUGUGACUUGUGUAAUCAAAUCAGGGACUAAUAUUUAUAUGAUAUAUGCUGUAAGAACCACCAAUCUUUUGUAGUCUUAUGCAGUAGCAUACUACUAGGAUAAGAUAUAUGAAUACUUGUGUUUAAUUAAUACAUCUAAGAAAGAUAAUGAUUAUAUUAUAGAGUGAGAAUAUGUAGUCAUAUUAUUAUUAUUAUUAGCUUCAAUCAGGAGAGCAUUUGACUAGGACUGCAGAACGUGAUAUAUGCUUGAAAGAGGUGUGUCAAUUGUGUGAGAGAAAUCUGAGAUCUUGGUCCCAUUGUCUCAUUGACCUUAAAGACGGCUUAUUAAACGGCUUGUAACCAACAAGAGCUACUCACACACAUCGAGAGAAAAUAGUUAUUCAUCAGGAUUCAAUCUGUGAAAGGUUUUAUUGAAAGGUGUUUCAAAAAAUAAAAAAGGUUUUAUUGAUUUUCAAAUCAGAAAAAAAAAAUUAGUAAUUAGUGAAUUGUUUCAUUUCUCUAUUAUACUAGUGGAUAUGUACAAUCCAUAUUUUAGAUGUGAGAUUUCCAACGAUAACGUUGAUGUUUGUCUUAAUUUAUUUUUAAAUGUUUUCUUUAUGUUUAUCUUUUAUGUUUAUUACAAUUAAUUUGUGGAAUGGUCUACUCUGAAGUGAUUCUGGAAUGGGUGGAUGUACCUACUAAUUGAUUCAUCAACCGACUUAUUUCACGCAAUUUAAUGUAGACUAGGCUUAUCCGUCUCAGAUAACUGUAUUGUAGUUCAAAGAAGUUUAUAGCGAAUAAGUUCAAUGCAUAAAUGAAAAUAAUUUUACAAACUGCAAUAUUUAGAAAAAUAUAGUUACUUGCAAAACUAAUAUAUAAUGUGACAUAUACAUGAAAUAUUUUUACUUGUAUAUCUAUAUACAAAUUUAUUAUUUUCAAAAUUAUACAAAAAUAUAAUACAAAUGAAUUGUUAAUGGGUUCAGAAUUACACGAACCAAUAUUUUUUAAAAAAAAAACUCAUCCAUUGAUUAAAUAUUUUGAAUAUAAUAACAUAAAACAACUGAAAAAUUAUGAUUUGAUCAGUUGGUCAUGUGUGAAUCUCCCCAUAAAUAGUGUACUUAUAUAAUUUUAUUUUCUAGAUAUUCUGUUUAAGAAAUAUUAUAAUCAGUUAUAGAUGAUAAAAGUAUAUUUCUAUUAAAAUGUUUUAUUUUUUCAAAUAAUUUUAGUAAACAAAUUAUCAAUCCAUUUUUAAUCAGUAACUCUAUUUUAAUUAGAUAUAUUUCUAAAAUAAUGUAAUAAAUAUUAAAAUUAAUGUUAAAUGUUUUUAGUAGUGUAUUUUUGAUCAAAUAAUUAGAAAAUAAGAAUAUAUUUAAAUAAUGUAAUCUCAUAAUCUGAAAUCAUAUUUUAAAAAUAUAUACUUUAUAUAAAAAAUUAUAUAAUAAUAAAUAAACAAUUCAAAUAAUUGUGAUCAAGAAGUUAAAAUUAUGGUUGUCAUUUCAUUUGAAUAGUAGUAUAUUGUAAACUAUUGUAAUAAAAACAUCUUUGCUUGUGAGUUAUUAUUUAAAACUCUUAAGUAAUUGAUUUAUAUUUUAUCAAUUUGAUUCGCUUAUGUAAUUACAUACCAGUCAUCACUUCAUUUUUUAUUUUAUUUUAGACCAAAACAAUAUAUAUAUCAAACUAUAUAAAUCAAGUGGAUUUUUAUCAAAAAAAAAAAGACUUUAAAAACAAGAAGAAGAUAAGACUACAAAGUGAACGUGGCGAUAUUAUUAUUUUAAUUAUAAAUGCAUUCAAUUUGGACAGCAUUUAAUUAGGCCAUGCGCAGCGAUGAAUUCUCAACUGAUCUCUAAUUAUUAAAUUAAUGAAAAUAAAUGAACAAGGAAGAGAGAGAAUGAAAAACGUUUCUUCUUGAAGAGACUAAAAAAAAUCUGAAGAGACUCCGCUUCCAUUUUAUCUUCUUUUCAUUGGGUAAAUUUCAUUUAGUUUUGAAAUUUAAUUACAAAUAAUAUUAUACUAGUUUUUUUAUUGAUUAGAUACCAUGGGAAGAACUUCUACCACUAAUGAUGCUCUUAGGACCUCAGAAUACAUGCCUUAGAAAGUUCUCUAUGCAUUGUGUGAGAGAGAUUUGAGAUCUUGGUGCCAUUAUCUCAUUAGCCUUCAAGACGCUUAUAAAACGAGGGUUUUGUUGCCAACAAGAGAAGUCACAACGAGAGAGACAGAGAGAGCACUGAUUUUGAUGGAUGAAAUUAGGGAUUUGAACCGUUUGGUAAUAACGGUUAUGUGCUUUGUGUGUUUAGGGUUUAGUGUUGGGAUGUGCUCAGAGUCCGGUGCCUUGAUCAAGACUUAUGUGUCAUCCUCACUAUACUCUGAUGAUUUGCUCAGCUCCACUAAGCUCCAAGGUAUCAACUUAAAAAAAAAAAAAAAUAAGUAUCUUACAUAACGUGGAUAAUCUUCUAUACAAAAAUUCGGGAUAUUCUCUAUGCACCCAUCUUUCCAAAUGAAAUCAUCGCAUUCUUUUUUUUUUGACAACAUCAUCGCAUUUUUUAUGUUAAAUCCAUUGUUGUUUGUAUAGUCCCUUAUGUCGCUGAAUCAGACUGGGAUUCAUAGGUGAUGGAGUCCAAAGUCCCGGUGAUGGUUAUGUUCACAGCCGAUAUUGAUUUAGAGCGAGAGAUCGCACCACGUUGGGACAUACGAGCUCUCCCCACCAUCGUUGUUUUCAAAGGGGGAUACUUAGUGGCUACUCGCGCCGGAGCUCUUGAAGUAAAGACACUGAGGGAGAUCAUCGAGAAAUAUAUGUGAUGACUGGGCAUUGAGUCUUAAGCAUGGUUUAUAUAUCUAUAUAUAUAAAAAAAUGUUUGUGUCCCUCCUGUUGCGCCACGUCGGAUCCAGCCUGGAAACUCGCUUCAUACAAUCGCGCCACAUGUCCUGAACAUGAGACUCACCGUUUCAUUAACUCUGGUGUGGGCUUGGACUGUGUAAUCGCGUGUCUGGGCCUAAUCCUGAAGAAUCGAUGCAUUGGGCCAGGAGCUCAAGCCUCGCCUCCCGGCGGUCAGCUAACCACCACCAUGAAUUUCGUCAUCUUCUUCCUCUCUAAGCCCAACUUCCGCCUCGCCUCCCGGCGGUCAGCUAACCACCACCAUGAAUUUCGUCGUCUUCUUCCUCUCUAAGCCCGACUUCGGUUACUACUCCUUCGGCUUCACCGCCUCCACCGUAGCUUCAUCAUGUCUCCGCUUCCAGCCAAUCUCUCAUUACUCGCAUCAGAUCUUGAAUCCAUGGUGGAGAAAACUCCAUCUUCUUCAUGAAUCUGCAUCUGGACAAGAAUAAGCUUUGAUAAGAGAAUAGAUAAAAGAGUGGUUGAGACAUAUUUCGUGGUGAUGGUUGAAACAGAGUUCAUUAGCGGAGAACGAUAACGAGGAGGUGGAGAUUAAGAAGAUGGUGGCAGCGGCGGAGGUUAUGGUGAUGGUGGCUGAGACAGCUUCGUUAGCGGAGGUAGAGAACGAGGAGACAGAGAUUAUGGUGAUGGUGGUGGAUGUGACAGAUUUCGUUUAUGGGGUAAUUUUGUUUAAGAAUGAAGAACAUGAGAUAAGAAAAGAGAUAGAGUUAAGCCUUUGUUCAAAAGAAAAAAAAAAGAUAGAGAAUACGAAAGGAAAGGUAGGAGAUAGAGGAAGAACACAUUUUUCACUUUGUUCAUUUUGGGCCAUUAGAUUUAUUUUAAUCAAUGGUUGUAGUUAAAAGAAAGUGGAUCCUCGCACUUGCACCUUAGUGGUUACUUUUUAAGAGAGGGAAAAAUGAGAAUUAAAGAGAGGAAAAUUGAUUAGUGAUGAGAUUUUCACAAAGUAUUUAGCGGAAUAUCUAAUUUUAAGUUCCUGCUUACUAAAACUCUUUUAUAGCAUUUAUCUAAUGCUAUUAUAUGAUACGAAAUUUUUUAAAUCAUCUACGAUAGCAGUUUUGUUUAGUAAAACGUAUCGUAACAAUGUGCUAUCAAUGUAGACUUUUUUGUAGUGCCAACUUCCCCUUAGGCAUCCUUGGCAUCGACAUCGUCGACAAGUUCCGGAAGCAAUCAGAGAGGUUUGGCACCGAGAUCUUCACGGAGAGGUCACCAAGGUUGAUUUCUCCUCGAGGCUGUUCAAGCUCUUCACCGAUUCAAGAACGGUGCUCGCCGAAGCACCAAUUCCGUCAUCAUCUCAACCGGAGCUGUUGCGAAACGGCUGAGCUUCGCCGGAUCUGGCGAAGGCGCUGAUGGUUUCUGGAACGGGGGAUCUCGGCAUGUGCUGUAUGCGACGGCACCACUCCGAUCUUUAGGAACAAGUCUCUGGUGGUUAUCGGCAGCGGAGACUCGGUGAUGGAGGAGGCGAGGUACGUUCAAGGCGACGAAGAUCAUGCAACAUAGAAAGGCGUGUUUGGUUGUUUGAAGGUGAAGAACGUUGUUACUGGUGAUGUUUCGGAUUUGAAAAUGUCUGGGUUGUUCUUUAAUACUUCAUAAAUUAAUGUAAAUUCAUAUAAAAUAUUUUUUUUUCUAGCUUCCCGCCCGUAGGGCGGGCCGGCCCUAGUUUUAUAUGUUUGAGUGUUGCGUGUAUCUUUAUGUUAUCACUCAAAAAUAAAACAAUUACAACAUAAAUUAUAGAGAAUAACAGCAUUUUUGAGAAAUCAGUUUCUCCUUCCAAGUUCCAACAUAUUAUACUCGUAAGGUCCCUAGACUCCCUAUCGUCAUGGUCAUGCGAUGCUCAUGACUCACUGAGACUACUUUUAUGUACAAGAUUUUUUUUUAAAGAUUUUCAGUGCGGUCACCAAGACACCAAAGUCCAUAUAUUUUGAGAAAAAUUCAAAAAAUAUGACAAUAUUGUUUUAAUACCUAGUUUCAUCCUGCACUAACAUAUGAUGAUGUUCAAAGAGGUUUGGUGCUUUUGUGCUCUCCGUUUAUCAAGAAAAUAAUAAUUUUAUAUUGGUUAUUCCAUCGAUUUAGGGGGUAUUAUGAAGUUUUACUAAAUUAAUUGAUAAAAACAAUUGAACGAUGCUCAUUUACCAUGAAAAAGAGUUUAGCAUAUAUUAAUACAAAUGUAGAAUAUGGUAGAAAUUUUAAAACAACACUAAAGAUUAUAGGAUUCAGUAUAUAAAGUAUUUACCAAAAACUCAAUAUUUUUGUAGGGGUUAGUCCAUAGAUUUUGAGAAAAUUUCAAAAAAUAAGAUAAUGUUUUUUAAUGCUUAGUUGCAUCAUGCACUAACAUUUGAUGAUGUUCAAAGAAGUUUGGAGCCUUUGUGCUCUUCGUUUAUCAAGAAAAUAAUAAUUUUAUAGUGGUUAUUCCAUCGAUUUAGGGNNNNNNNNNNNNNNNNNNNNNNNNNNNNNNNNNNNNNNNNNNNNNNNNNNNNNNNNNNNNNNNNNNNNNNNNNNNNNNNNNNNNNNNNNNNNNNNNNNNNNNNNNNNNNNNNNNNNNNNNNNNNNNNNNNNNNNNNNNNNNNNNNNNNNNNNNNNNNNNNNNNNNNNNNNNNNNNNNNNNNNNNNNNNNNNNNNNNNNNNNNNNNNNNNNNNNNNNNNNNNNNNNNNNNNNNNNNNNNNNNNNNNNNNNNNNNNNNNNNNNNNNNNNNNNNNNNNNNNNNNNNNNNNNNNNNNNNNNNNNNNNNNNNNNNNNNNNNNNNNNNNNNNNNNNNNNNCAUGAUCAAAGGGCUUAAAGAGUCGAGGAUGCUCUUCGUCCACGAGCUCAUCUGGUGAACUCACUAUAUGUCCUGCUUUCGGAAUCGAGAACAGCCCGAGGGAGUAUCUCGUCUCUGUUCCAGUCAUCAUGACACGGUGAUAUGGAGAGUGUAAUCGACCAUUCAGCAAUGCCUAUGACAUACAAAAACAUCACUUAGCUGUUAUUAGAGCAGGUUCCGAGUAUAGCCAAGUAAAACAUUGAUCUUAGGCUUCCAAAAUUUUUAAGUUAAUAUAUAUGAACAUAAAUCUACAAACUGUUUUAAUUAUUUUUUACUAAAUUGUUUAAAGCUUCUAAAGUUUCAAGAUCAGUCAUGGUUGUUAUUGUGUUCAAGCAUUGAUUCUGUUUUAAAAGGAAGGUAAAAGCAAAGGCUUCUUACAUGGAGAGAAUCUCCUAUCAUGACGAUGAAAGAGUCUUCUGAUGGCUUCACAUUGAUCCAGUUCUUGUCUUUGGUCUGCACCUCAAGACCUUCAACAUGGUUUUGGUAAAGUAUAGUGACAAUGUUUUUGUCGGUAUGAGCGUUUAGCCCUAGUUUGGUCUCUUCUGUAUCAGGUCCUGUGUACUUCAUAACUCGAAGGAGGUAGUUCGUUGACUGAAGAUGUUCAUCGAUGUACUUCACGAGUCCAAAGCUCUCCAUGAUCAUUCUUCUUAUAGUUAUGUCUAGCUCUGAUAACUUCUUUGAAAACGAAUGGAUCGUUGCGCUGGUAGUAACGAAUUUUUUUUAUCAAAAACAUGUUCAUACUAAUGGUAAUAAAGAAUAUAAGUUUACUGACCUGAAGCUGUUGUUGCCUUGAGGCCAUAGCUUUUCAGUAAAGGCUUCAACUUUGUCUACAACAUCAGAGUCAUCAAUGCCCAUGCUCUCGUACAGUGGCACCAUUGGGUAUUGACCAACGUAUCCAUGGAAAGGUUUCUUGGAGACGUUUCUCAAUUUGGUCUGUAAAGGUAAGUCGAAAAGCUCUUCCAAGGCCUUGAAAAUAGAUUUUCGUAACUCGAUAGGAACUUUAUCGAAAGAAGCCUCGAAACAGCCGUAGUCUUGAAGAGCUUUAUAGACAUCAGCUUUGGUUAAGUCCCAUUGGGGCUCUCCUGGUUUCAGGUUUUGGUUUGAGAAAUCGAUGACCGGGAGAUGAAGAGGAAGGAGAGGAGUUUCAGAACCCAUUUUUUAAGAGAAGGUCGUUGGAUAUGGAGUUACUCAAGUGAAAUGUAACAAGUUACAUAUUACAUAUAUAUAUUAUUGAAUUACGCCUCAAGGAAUCUAUGUUCUGAUGAUUCUCCGCACAAGAUGUCAAAUGUCUCUAUGAUUAUGAAAAUGAAGGGGUUGUUUGGCGUGAAGGUUGUUAAGACUUUAAUGGCCUUUACAGUUAAAGUUUAUAUUAAAGCAACCAGACUUCUAUAUUUGAGAUGUAUCACUUUUAUAGUUGAGGUUUUAUGCAAUUUAAAAACAAUUAGUUUAGGUAAAUAGGUGAAUCAGUUUCAUUAUACAAUGUAAAUAUAUUUUUAUGUUUUUUUUAUCUCCAUUUAUGAAAAAUUGUUUUUGCAGCCACAGUUAAUUACCAAAUCUCUCAAGUUGAGAAUACUCUUUCUAUCUUUUCAUGUGGAGAAAGAAUUUUAUGACCCUGAAGUCAAUUAUUUCAGAGGCAAUUGAAGACAAAACAUCACUAUCACAUCUGGUAUGAACUUUGUUUUAAUAUAUUCUGAAAACACUGAAUAUUUUCAGCUCAUUGAUUUGAUUUAGAGAUUCUUCUCAAGCUAUGACACAACUUUAUUCUACUUGAGAACAUAUGUAAGAACAUGUUUAAUGGGAGGGGGUUCUUACCGGAAUAUAAGAACCCGUCUCUCAACUUUUAAAAGUUAAGAACCGGUUCUUAUAUUCCGUUAAGAAUCCCACCCUAAGAAAUUCCAUUAAACAUGCUUUAAACACAACUAAAGAGUCAAAACAGAGAGAAGUUUUUUUAUUUCAUGAGACUACAGUAAGUCCUGAAACCAGAUAGAUCUCUCCUUUGAUCCCUUGCAGGUGAACUUAUAGUAUUCUUCAAAGGUAAUCAGCUUAUACUCCGAAGGACUGGAAAAAAAUUGUUGUUUAUCAAGGUGAGAUCGGUCAUAUUCUUCAAAAUAGAAUAGCUUUGCUUUUUGUUUUGUUCUGUAAUAAAUUCGUUUUAAUCUUUGUAUAGUGCAGUAGUGUUAUUUUUAUCGUUCUCUUGAAAAAGCCUUUUGUUACAACAAGUAGAUAGUACAUGCACGCAUGAUAACAUAUACAUGCUUAAACCAUCUCUAAUAGAGUUAUUCUAUUUUAGGGAAGAAAAAUAGAGCGGAGUUGGAGAUGCCCUUACGCUACAAACUGGAUUUCUCCUUCAGGAUCUCUCGCAUGUGAACUUAUAUUAUUCUUCAUAUUCUUUACUUUUUUUUUUUCUGAGAAUACCUUUGCUAUUUUUCUUUUGUUCUGUAAUAAAUUUGUUUUAAUCUUUGUAUAAUUUUUAUCCUUCUCCUGAAAAGUCUUUUAUUACAACACGUGGAUAGUGUAGUACACAUUAAAGCCUUUUAUUACAACAAGUGGAUAGUUUGGUGCAAAAAGAUUAUGUUACGUGCACGCAAGUGACUAACAAAACAACAAAAACUCAAUUCAUGAAAUUUAUUAUUUAUUAUGAUGGAGAUGGGUUUUACAUGGAAACAAUUUGAAAUCAGAUCCUUGAGAGCAGAUAGUAGAUCUCGCCGUCUUUCAGCUUCUUCCUCAGCGGUGAACUGAAUGUAUCCUUCAACAUCUUCUCUGGUCCAUUGAUUAAUUCCUCUGUUUUCAGAACAGCGAAAGGUUCAGCCGAGCCCGAGUGCCUUGUGUUUGUUACCAUCUGACCGUUCAGAAAUACCUAUUGAACAUAUUUUAAUUUCGGUACUAUCAAAAAUUGCAUACUUUGUAGCCUAAGCAUGUAUACCAAACCAAAUCCAGUUUCUAAUGUAGUAUUGUAGUUUCCAUCGAGCCUAAAGCUCUCCAUUAUCAUUCUACGGGUCAUGAAGCUAUAUCUGCUUUACUGAACAAGGCCACAAACCAUCCUUAGUCUUCUAGAUCUUUUGCGGACAUUUCCUCUCACUGAGUCCCACUCGACAGUUCCCAGUAUUAGAUCUUCACUAGUGAAAUCAAUGACUGGGAGAUGAAUAGCAAGUUUGGUUUCAUAACUCAUCAUUUCUUGCGUCACAAGCUUGUUCUAAUUCAGAUCUUUAUCUCUUUGUUUUCUUAUAUCAGCUUUUGAAGACCGCUAGGGUUCGCUAUUAAACAUUAGUAACUAGGUUUACCAUAUCUUCAUGUGAUCUUAAACCUAGUCUCCACAAUGAAAUUUUAUCUUCAUUAUUCAUUUUAUUUCUGAUGGAGAUGGGUUUACAUAAAAAGUUUUAAACAGCAAAUCAAACAAGUUUCUUCUUAUUCUUAUUUAUAUUUUUGAAGAAAAGACGUUAUUAUUGUAUUCUCAAAGGCCACAAUAACCCCUGAGUGCAGCUACAUCUCUUCUUCCGGGCCCCUCAGUAGUGAACUGAAAGUAUGCUUCAAAAUCAAAUGGCUUAUACAAGCGAGGAUGCUCAGGAUCAACCAAUUCCUCUGGUGCAUAUAUCAAAUCCUCUGUUUUCGGAACCGAGAACAGUCCAGCUGAGAAUCUUGUGUUAGUUCCCAUCCUCAUCACUCGGUGAACACCAGUUAGCACCCGACCAUUAAGAAGCACCUGAACACAUACUCGUUACAUCAUGAACAUCAAAAUAAGAAUUUUGGUUUUGAGCUUACGUGUAGUGUAGCUCCUCCAAGAACGAUGAAUGAAGAAUCUUGAGAAGGAUUGGCUUUGAUCCAUUGCUUAUCAUCACUAGUUCUCACUUCUAGUCCGUCUUUUACAUCGUUCUGGCAGAGUAUGGUGAGCAUGUUUCUGUCUGUAUGAGCCUCCAUACCUAACUCUUCUUCUGUUUCUUCAACUCCUUGGUACUUCAUCAUUCUCACAAGACAUUUGGUCGAGUUCAAAUGUUUCUCAAUGUAGUUUUCAUUGACCCCAAAACUCUCCAUUAUCAUUCUCCUGGUCAUGAAGUCCAGUUCUGACACUUUCUCCGCGAAUGACAUGACCGCCUCACUGCAGAAACAUAGUGAUUUUAGAGUUUUUCAAAUUAAGAAAGAGAAUAAAAGGUUUUAAGAACCUAAACCUGAAACUUCCAUUGCCUUGGGGCCAAAGCUUGUGAGUAAACUCAUUGACUUUAUCUUCAUUUUCUGCAAAGUCAACACCCAUGACUUCAAAAAGAGGUAAAGAUGGAAUCUGACCCACAUAUCCUCUAUACUUUCUCUUUGACACAACUCUCUUUUUGGUCUCUAAAGGUAGCUGAAAAGCCUCCUCAGAGACAUCGAAAACCGCCUUUCGAAGUUCGACAGGAACUUUGUCGAACAAGGCCUCAAAACAUCCAUACUCUUCUAAAGCUCUUCGGACAUCGCCUCUCACUGAGUCCCAUUCUACAGUUCCUGGUUUUAGGUUUGGACUUGUGAAGUCGAUGACCGGGAGCUGAAGGGCAGGAGUGGUUUCCAAACUAACCAUCUUUUUCUUUUAGAAACUUGUUGUGUGUUUAGAUAUGUCUCUAUGUGUUCUUAUAUAAGGUUUUGAAGACCACUUGAUGUCUAAAAAAUAUUAUCAUAUGUUUAGGUUUCACUAUAAAUUUAUGGUCCCUGCCAACACUUUUUUUGUUUUAAAUCGUUGUAAUGUAGAAAAAAUCGUAAUUUUGACACUUAUUGCUGUAAUUUGCAACUUUAGAACGGUUUGAUUGGCUCAAAUAAUAUAUAAAUGAUCUGAACUUUUUAUCCUACCUUGUUGAAAAUGAAACUUUGUAUGUACGGAGCCAAUCAAGUAACAUUCAGAUAUAUAAAACAUUAUCAUUUUGAUCAAUGGAAUACCAUUCAGAUUCAACAUUAUCACUUUGCAUCAUUUUUUCUCCGUAUAGAUGCUUUUAACAUACCUCAAUAUGCUUUGUGGUCUCACGGCUUUCUUUGGUUGCGUAGAAUUGUAUGAGAGCUAUGCUCUAUGCUCUCGAAUGGCUUAUACAUAUGAGGAUGUUCAUCAUCCAUUGAUAUAUGGUCAUUUCUAUAUGAGCUGUGAGUUUCAGCUUAGUUACUCUUAUGAGGCUCAAAUUCGUGAGUCCAAUUGUGAUAUAUUCUUAUAUUUCUUGUGCUUUUGUAAGUUUUAUAAAAUCUUAAUUACCUUCAAGUCUUCAACUUCUAAUGAGAGGUUAAAAGCAUUUUCAUCGGUAAGUCUGUUCAAGAGUUUUAUACAAAUAAAAAUAAACUAAAAAUAAUAGGAAUAGAGAGAAAAGGACAACCUCUUCUUUAACACAAGUUGCUAAUUUUUUUAAUGAAUUCUCAUAACAUUUGUCAAUAAUUCAUUGGUUAGUAUUAUUUUAUUGUGAAAAACUUUUAGAUUAUAUAGACGAAUGCUGAUGGCCUAAGCCGGAGGAACCUGAGCGCGCAGAUGAAACUAUGAUUCAAUGUGCUCUGAGCAUCUUCUUUGUUCGUAACAUAGCCAAUUGCAAGACCUUCUAGAAGAGGGAACACGUGCACUGUCUACUCUUGCCAACGUACGGCUUCUCGAUACAUUAAUCUUCUCUGUCUCAUUUGGUUUCAGGUGUUGGCUUGUGAGAUCAAGAACUGGGACCUUAGCAUUCAAAGACUUGAUUCCAUUAUGGUUGUUGUUUUUAUAUACUGGAGGCCUUUCAACUUGAAGUAUAUAUAGAAAUUGAAUUUCAGAAAAUAUGAGUAUAAUGCAGUCCAAGGGCCAUGAUUAUGAAUAGUUAAUAACAUCAGUAUAAUGUUUUUAUGAAAACCCUUUUUCAAAAAAAAAUCAGUAUAAUGUUUUGUUGUUACUAUAAACGGUCACGGAUCCAAGAUCCAUUUGAAACAUUCUUACAGUAAACAUACAAAACUUAUUUUCAUCUGUUAUAAUUUUCCAUUCUCACUAAUCGAAGAUUUAUAUACACAUAAGAUAUGAUACAUAAGACCCUUACUGAAAAUGAACUUAAAAUGGAUCUGAACUUAAGACUUUCAAGAGAAAAUUCGAACCCUGGCACAAAGCAACGAAAAUCAACAUGCAAAAUAUUCAACCAGCACUAGAAGAGUAUGGAUGGUUGAACAUAUUAUAGUAGAGAAGAGUGAGAGCAUUUAGAUUUGUAAAAUAUUGGCAACUUGAUCAAUGGUCUGACUGUAAAGCUGCUUUUAGAUACAACAAUAUGCUUUGAGAGUUGACUUCGCUUCACGGCCUUCUUUGGUUGCAUAGAAGUUUAUGAGAGCGAUAUUAUCAAAAGGCUUGUACAUGAGAGGAUGUUCGUCGUCCACAAGCUCCUCAGGGACCGAAACCAAUCCCUUGAUAAAAGAGAAAAGACCUAAAGUGUACCUUGUCUUGUCGCCUUCCAUUGUUACUCUAUGCUCACAAGAUCGUAUCCUGUCAUUGCUCCAACCCUAACCAUAUAAACAAUAAUGAAUAUUCAUGAGUUUGUAUCAUAAUUACCGAUUAAGUUAUUAAGUAAAUAACUAUUUUGUGCUGGUUGGUCUCGUUUGGUUUGUUUACGUUAUAUUUACUGGGUUUUUUUAAAUGAAAUAUCUUUUGUCAAAGAUAACCUUAUCAAAUAACAAUUUUAAGUAUAUAAGCAAAACUCUUUUGUUAAUUACAAACGAAAACGCAAGGAGAACAUUAAGUUUGCCUUUGGAGUUUGUGCAUUUCUUUUGUAAAACUUAAUAUGAAGACCUUUCAAUAUUUUAUACUUACAAAAAUAUGGUUUCUAUUUUCAUUUUUUCAAAACUUCCUCAUGCAAACGUAAACGCAGAAGUUGCCUUCAAAACAAUCGGAGUAUUAAAUCGAAUAUUAUUUCAGUUACCAUAGAGAUGUCACCAGCCAUGACAACGUAUGACUUGGGUGGGAGAUGAAGAGAAAUCCAUCCACCGUCCUUUGAUUUCACCUCUAAACCAUUCACACCAUUUUGGUGAAGUAUUGAUAAGAAGGUCUUGUCUGUGUGCUGAGGAAAAGCUGCCAUUGAGAUAGACUCUGGUGGAGCCAAGUACUUGAGGAAUUUGAGUAGGUAAGUCUUUGAUCCUACAUGUGAAUCAUAAUGUUUCUCCACACCGUAGUUCUCAAAUAUCAUCCUCACAACUAGUCGGUCCAGUUCCGCAACCGCGUUUGAGAAUCCGUGAGCGGUUUCGCUACAAAGUUUCAAGUUCAAACAAAUAAAAAUGGUUCUGCUUCAAACCUAUUGAGUUAGAGUUUCAAAAACAAAGCAAUAUAUAUACUUACAAAGUAUACAAAAUUUGAAGGAAACAUGACCUAAACACUAAACUAGAGUGGAAGACACGGUUAGCCAAAACACAGAGUCGGAUAUAGCAAAGUUAAAUAUUAACUUAGUACUCCUAAAUAUUUAAAAAUCAACAUACAUAGAUAAGUCUUUUAAAUUGGUUACAAUUUGUUUUAUUAACUGUUUUACUAAAAAUAAUUUGUCUCCAAAAUUUUAGGGUCGGUCUUGCCAAAACCAAACCAUUAACCGUAAACAAUCAAGCUCUAAACAUACCAAAAUUGGUGGUUUCCUUGAGGCCACAUGAGAUGAGUGAAUCUUUGAGCCUCUUCUUUGUUUGUAACAUAGUCAAUGCCAAGACCUUCAUGAAGAGGGAUCACAGGCAUUUGACCAACGUAGCCAUGGUACGGCUUCUCGUUCACGUUCUUCCUCUUUGUGUCAGUCGGGAGAUCGAACAGUUCCUCAGCAGCAGCGAAGAUUGAAUCAUCUAGCUCCUGCGUUACUCCGUCGUACAAGGCCACGAAAUAGCCGUAUUCCUCCAAGGCUUCACAGGCUUCUCUAGAAAUGGAACGCCACGUGGACGUGUUUGGGUUCAAGUCCUGUCGGCUCGUGAGAUCAAGAACUGGAACUUUAGAAGAAGACUUCACGGAUGAUCCCAUUUGGAUGCUAUGUUUCUAAUGUGAUCUCUCUUGAAUUUGUCAGCACCAACUUAUAUAAUUUCUAAACAAUUUAUUUACAGAUAACUCAUAUGACUCUUUUCGUUGUAUAAAAAAAUCAUAUGAGCAUGACUUUAUAUAAUUAGGGGGUCCAGUCCUGGUUAAACGAACCGAACCAAAAACUGGAACAAAAUCUUACCGAAACCGAAUUGAUUUUUAAUAUGGAUAAAUAUAGUGGUACAUCUUUUUUCUAUUUUCGAAAAUUAGAACUACACCCCAAACAAAUCAUAAUCAUAAAGGUAAAAUUAUACCAAAAAGUCGAACCCUAGUUUAAUUUCAUAAAAAAAAUAUGAAGGCCUUUGAUCUUUUUUUUUUGUUUUUCCAAAAAUAUGAAGGCCUUUGAUCAAAACGCAAAUCUAACAUAAAACCAAACCUAACCAAAUUGUACCAUGCUAUAUCUAAAACCAAAAUUUUGGAAAAUGUGAACCGAAAUCAAACCAAAAUCGAAUUGGAUAUUAUAUUUCUAUAUUGUGGUCCACCAAGUGAUGACUAGUGGAUAUUAAUAUACAACGUGGUCCAACAAUUUUGAUGACUAGAAAAAAUUAAUAUAUAACAUGGUCACAGAUUUUGGUGACUAACUAUGUGGUCCAUAGGUUCCGCUGACUAAUACUAUAUUGGUAUCAAUAUAGUGAUGUUUUGUUUAUACUCUAAACGAAUAAUUGAAAACUAAAAAGUAAGAUCCCUUCAACAUUUGUCUUGUAAUGAACAUCCAAAAUCCAUUUUCAUCUUAGAGGAUAUUCCAUAUAUAGUUGUUUGACAUUAUAUAUAUUCAUAAGAUAUGAUCCAUGAGAAAACACACCUAAAUCUUAAAAAAUAUACAAAUAAAAUGUCUUCUAAGAUCCCUACCUUAGAUUUCUCAAGAGAAGAUCUGAAACCAGGCACAAAGUAUUGGAAAUCAACAAGCAAGAACAUAAGACAAGCCCUUGAAGAGUAUGGAUGUUUCAUCAUAGAUCUUCAAGACAAGACUCCUUUAGAUCUUCUUGACCAAGUCUUUGGUUCUUUGGUCGAAUUGUUUGAUCUCCCAACUCAAACCAAAAUGAAGAACAAAUACGAUAAGCCUUUAAAUGGCUAUGUUGGUCAGAUUCCAGCUCUUCCUCUUCAUGAAAGUCUUGGUAUUGAUAAUGCAACUUCUUUAGAAGCAACCAGAAGCUUCACCGGUUUGAUGUGGCCACAAGGAAACAAACACUUCAGGUAUAGUAUAGAAAGAUCUAUCAAGUUUGAAUUCUAAACUAUUACUUUUUUUUAUAUAUUCUUAAACUUGGCUUGUGCUAGUGAAUGUGUGCACAAGUAUGCGGAGUUUGCAGCCAAGCUUGAUCAAAUGGUGACACGGAUGGUUUUUGAAAGCUAUAACGUCGAGAAACACUACAAACCAUACAUUGAAUCAACCACUUACCUUCUCCGUGUGCUGAAAAAUAGUGCACCGAACAACGAUAAAUCUAACUUAGGAUUUGUCACACAUACAGACAAGAGCUUCACAACAAUACUUCACCAGAAUCAAGUCAAUGGUCUCGAAAUGGAAACUAGAGAAGGAGAGAGGAUCAAUAUCAAUCUAUCAUCACCUUCACUCUUCAUGAUCGUUGCUGGCGAUGCCUUGAUGGUAAAGUUGCGUUAUAAUACAAAUUUUUAAUAGUUCAUACAACCAUAGAUUGAACUAACUAAAGUGUAUAUACUUUUAGGCAUGGAGCAAUGAUAGGGUUUGGUCUCCAAGACACCAAGUUCUAGUGAGCGGUGAUACAGACAGAUACUCUCUUGGAAUGUUUUCAUUCAACAAUGGAACACUUCAAGUACCAGAAGAGCUUAUUGAUCAUCAACAUCCUCUUAUGUAUAAGCCCUUUGAUCAUAUUGGUCUACUUCGAUUUUACCGUACUGACAUAGGUUACAAAUCAGAGUGUCCUAUCAAAGCCUAUUGUGGUAAUUGAAUCACUUAUGUAUCCACGAUCUAAAGCUUCGUAUAUGUGAAUUGCAGUAAUCUAAUAAGAGAAAAAUAAGUGUAGUUUCAGGGGAAAAAGAACAUACCUCCCCUCCAAAAUAUAAGAUGUUUUAUGUAAAAAGCACAUAUUCAAAAGUUAUAUAUUUUAUUUUAUAAACAUCAUUAAAACUAUAAAUUAAAUGAUAAUUAAUUGUAAAAUAGACUAUAAAAUAUAAUUAGUAAUACUGUUUCUAAUAAAGAUUCAUAAAAUAUGAAAACAUUUACAUAUUGAAACAUCAAAAAUCUUUUUCAACAUCUUACAUUUCAGAACAGUAGUUACAUGGUAAGGUCACAAGGACAUGUUCCAUUUCUUGGUAUGUAAUCAAGACAUCAAUAUUAGCACAACAACAUCAAGAAGAAGAAAAUAACUCAUUCUUCAUCACUGUGGUUUCCAUUGACAGAGACUCUAGAAACCAUCUCUGAUUCAGACAUUACUCUCUCAUACUUAACAGAUCUAGAAGGGAGAAUCCUAAACCGACCAAAGCUUAAAGCCUGAGAGAGCUUGUCAUAGUCCCAUCUCUGCUGAACAAACACAACAACUGCAAGCAGAAUCGCGGUAACGGGUAUAACAACAUCCCCAAACUUGGAGAAGAAAUCGAGAUUCGGGUUAACAAACUCGUGUUCUUCUCCAAUGAAGUAAGGAUCAGGAACAGAGCCAACGAUGUAGUCAUAGACGUGAGGGAAAAGCCUCACUAGCGUGAUCCCCAAGUAAUACAGCUUCCUCAGCGGCUGCUUUGAAUCAAUCUGCCAUAUAAAGUUACCAAUCACCU